rnacentral:lncRNA from 1 species
UUAAAAGGUCGGAAAAAACUGGAAGAAAAAGGUGAACUGAAAUCAUACCAAGAUUUUAAUGGAAACUGGACUCCAUCUGGAAUCCAAGCCGGUCAAUUUAAGAAUCAGUUUGCACCCCAAAUUAUGCAAUCUUCUCCCCCUUCGAUUCUCAACCAACAGAAUCAGCUCCAGGGACCUGAGCAGUUGCAGUACCAGCAAAUAUCGAAUCCAUGUGUGGCCCCUUCUGCAUAUGGGAGCAUGACAAAUCCAUAUUCCACGCCUGUGUUGUCUCACUUUCAGUCUGGGGAAUUUAAGCAUCAACCUUUAGCUUCUGGUUAUGAAUUUUCUUCAGGUAAUGGUAAUCCUGUGAAAAAAAUUUCAUCAUUUCCAACAAAUUUCUAGUUAUUUAUUCAUCAACCUAAAGUUUCUAGUUAUAAAGUUUCUUCAGGCAAUGCAAAUCCUAUAAACAACUUAGAUGACUGUCCAGUGAAACCCCAGAGAAUGACACCUCAGGAAAAAAUUGAAAAAUUAAGGAGGCGGCAACAAAUUCAGGCAAUGCUUGCCAUUCAGAAACAGCAGCAGCAGCUUGUUCAUCAAAAAUGUUCUCAAGAAAAUCAAAUUCAGCAUGUUGAAGGAGCUGACCUAGAAGUAGAGGAUCUAAGUACUCUUGCUUCAUUCGACCCAAACUCGCCUAUUGAGCAAGAUGAUUCCAAUACAAUCUCUCUGGCAGUUAAUGAUUACUCAAUGGAGGACACAAUACUCUACAGGCUUCAAGAUAUAAUUUCAAAGGUAUGCUUCACUCACAAGUGAAUUCUUUUCCUGCCAGAGUAAUUUGAACUUGGUUACAAUUCCAAACCAAUGUUUUACAACAGCUGGAUGUCAGAAUUAGACUCUGUAUUCGGGAUAGCAUGUUCCGGUUAGCUCAGAGUGCAAUGCACAGGCAUUAUGGUAGUGAUACUAGCAGUACAAACAAUAGCAGGGGUGAACAAGUUGCCAUGAAAGAGGAAACCAGGUUGGUUAAGGAAUUGCAGUUCUCAUGCUUCUGUUUUGAAAUUUAAUCCAUCCUGUUCUUACAUUUUUGCUCCAUGGGAAAGCGAAAUUAGGAUCUUUAACACCAUCACUGUUUUUUUUUUUGUUUUCCAUUGUCAUGCUAGAAAUAAAUAUUGAAAGUGCUAUUUUUGUUAUUUACAAUUGAGGAGAAUAGUGACUGAAACAAUUCAACUUAGGCCUUGAUUUCUCUAAGAAGUGGAAGAAAAUCUAAACAGGGCAUAAUAGGUUCCUCUUUCGCAGAAUUUCAUUAUAAACUUGACUGAAUUUGACGUUGCUGAUCAAAUAUGUAGUAGUUUGCUCCCAUUGGUUGUGUUUUCUGAGUUGUUGAUUCCAGGGAAGUUGUACAUAAUCACCAUCUUUGGGUGCAAAUCUUGUUUUCCUUCCAUUUGUCGUUGAUUGAACUUAUUACACUUGUUGAACAAUCUUUCUCUCUUUCUCUAAUAGUUAAAUCAAGAAAAAUUUCUCAAGUAUGUUGUGCACUCAUUUAUGCAAACUCCCCAGUUAAACUUAACUACAUUGCAUCUUCUUUUUUGGAGAUUAAAUUGUUUGUUUGUAUUCUCAAGAAAAAAAAAAACCAAAUUUAGGAUUUUUUGUGAGAUGCAGCAUGAAAAGGGGAAGUAAAUGAGUUUACUGAAUACUGACAACGCACCUGGUAGUGUUUCCUAUGCUCGCACCUAGGAAGAAGAAGACCACCACCCCCUUCACAGCUUUCCAGUCUUCUGGAAUUUUCUGUAUCCUAUUUACUGAACACUUUUACAUGGAUUUAUGUAAAUUGUCUGAUUGAACUCGGACUCGAGUACAAAAGCACAAUAGAAAUUGCAAAGGAAAAAUCCAGAAGGAAAAACUAAGAUAUCCAAGUCUAUAUGAGUGGCACAACAUACUUGAGAAAUUUUGCUAGAUUUAACUACUAGAGAGAGGGAAAGAUUGUUCAACAAUUGUAAUAAGUUUAUUGAAGGACAAAAUAAAGAAAAACAAAGAUUUGCACCCAAAGAUGGUGAUUAUGUACAAAUUAACUGGAAUCAACCAUGCAGAAAACUUGCAUAGUUUUGGUUAAACCAGACAAAAUUUAAUUUCCUUUCUAGUUUAAUAAUCAUCUAAAGAUUCAUGUUGCAUUUCAAGCAAGAAAAAACUUAAAGAAAUCAAAUAAUCUGCUAAUCGACUCUUCUAUGUCUAAAUGGGCAUCACAUCCAACCAAAACCAUAAGCUGUUUUCAUCUGAAACUCUUGAAUUUUUGUUGUCUGCAACUAUGUGGUUAUCUUACAGUUGCAAUGAGUUUUCUCCUUUACAUUUUCUCCUAUCCAAAUUAAAUCAUUCAGUUUGUUUGCACAAAAUUGUUAUUCAAGUCUUCAUCAACAAACUCAAACUUUCUGUGAUUUUCCUCUUCGAUUUUAUGGUCUACUACAGGAUGGUUAAGAUGCCUGAAGUGGAAACAGAUACCAACCCCAUAGACCGGACUGUGGCCCAUUUGCUGUUUCAUAGACCAGUGGAUUUCGCUGGGAAACAUCCUGAUACACCUGAAUCACCUGUUUCCACUAAGCUCCCGUGUGAGCACAAGACAGUGGGCAUAGCAAAACUGUCAAUGGGAAGCUUGCCUGACUCUCCAAAAAGUAAACCGAACUUUUCUCAACAGGGUUCUAAACUUUCUAGUCUCUUGACCAAUUUCCAGCCAGCCGGUCAGUGUAAAUGCAAUCCUUGUUUAGACACAUCGGAGGAUGCAUCAAACAAUGGACCUGCAGAUGAAGUAGCUAGGGAGGUUAAAGCCUCUGAAUGAAGAUAAGGGUAAUUCCUUCCUUUAUCUCUUCCAUGAGUAUGUUAUGCUUACAGUGAUGAUUAUAUCGAUUUACUGGUAAUGCCAAGGUUUUCUUUUAAUGUCAGCCCAUUGGAUCAUCAUCAAAUGAGGGUCACACAGAUUAAACACCAAUAUUGCCGAGGAUUCAUCAACGUCAUUGGCAGGCAGCGUAACGUCGCAUUUGUGGAUUUGAAAGUAUUGUGGUCUAUAUAGCUACAUAUCUACUACCACCAGAACUUCAUGAAUUCUCAAGAUGAUGACUUUUAAGUGUAUGCUUUUAUCCUUCUGCUAAUUAUGUGGAAGGGUGAUACGCCAAUAAUUAUUAGCAGAUUUAUAUGUGCCUACCCUCUGAGUGACAUUGGCCUCUUUCCCUUGUUUCUGAAUUGUGAUUCCAAAACACAUUCAUCUUUGUUAUGAACUUACCAUGGGUUUGAGUAUACAAGUUUGUUCUUCCUCUGCUACCAAUUAUGGGCAAAUGGAACUUGGGUUUGGUUUUUGUAUUACACCACUUGGGCUUUUGUCUCCUGCCCUAAAUCAAUGUGCCGGUAAUGUAGCUUACAUGUGCUAAUAGUAGGGAUGGAGAUUUAACUCAAUUCAUCAGGUAAUUCGAUGUCAUCUGUUUCGAUUAGAUCGAAUUUUAAUUUGGAUUGGUUUUAGUAAAACCAGAGGUGAGUAAAAUCCGAUCUAGUUUAACUGGAGUCGGAGGCGGGUGAAGGGUUCAUCUACUCCUUGACAAUUUUUUAAUGUAAUGUAUGAACUUUUAUCAUCAACUCCACUCAAUUGCUGACUUGCUAGUGUCAGUACCAGCAAGCAAGAGCUCCAGCAAAUGAGGGAUGGAACAUAUGAUGUUGAACUUGUGUGUCUGAUCAAUGGAAAGAGAGGGGGAGAAGAUCAAACCUAGAGGAGGAGAGUGAUGUUCUCAUCAGUAGAAUCAUUGCUGAUCACAGUAUCAAGAAAAUCUUCUUGUCUCGAAGCAUCAUCAUCACUUACCUUUCUUUCUCUCCAUUCUCUGAGGAUAGCCACAAACGUGGCACUGCGCCUCAUAUACAAUUCAUUGGACUUCGUCUGUAGAUUCUGCAGAUUAAAUGUUACUAUGAGACUAACGUCUCAUUUAUCCAUGUUAAUGUUACAUGUUAAAGUAUUUUUUUAUUAAUAAAUAAUUUCCAGUAAAGUUUUAAUUAAUUUCUUGUUCAUGAGAUUGAUGGACAUGUUCACAAUAUAUAUCCCAUUAACGUUUAGAAGAUCACAAAUCCUGCCCAAUCAAGGUUUUAAAAAAUGAAAUGGAUCUCCCACUUUCAUUAAAAUAUUUGUCAUACAAACACUACGGUUAUAUUUUUAAGUUUCUUGUUAUAUUAUUGAUGUGGAACAAUGAAUAAAAAGAUUUAAAGCAUAAAAAUAAAAUAAAAAAAGAAGCGAAGAAUUAAAUGUAAAGAAAGAAAAGAAUAGGGAUUGAAAAUAUACAACUCUGCAAUAUUUUUAAUUUAUCAUCAAAACUCUAUAACAUUUAGAGAAGUAGGAUAUAAAUACUAAAAUCCUAACUAGAACAAGCGAUUGGGCUUAUGACCCACUAAAUAAAAUACCCAACAAUAAUUAAAUCAAACCCAAUAAAUAAAGCUUAAUUAAUAAACCUCAACUAAAAGUUCAUAUAAAUUAAAUUAAAACAUAAGUUAAAGCUCAAUCUCUUAAUGGUUUGGACUAUCCUCCAUCGUCUAUGAUCAUACAAAUGUGUUAACAAUGUUUCAAGUUCGGUUUCCAAACCAAUUCUCCUGGGGUUGGAAAAACUCGACCCCAUCGAGUAUAGGUCGAGAUGACUUUGAUAACGCUCUUAAAGAUAAGGAUCAAGUUGUUGUGAUAUCUCUCUAAUAAUCCAAGCAUAGUUUAAAUCUGGUAGUCUAGUUCAUAUACUAGGAUUUGCUAAAGUUCAACAUCCCUGGUAAAAACAACAUGUGCAUUCAAAGUAGCAUUAAUAUGUUUUUUUGUGCCAAAGAUAAGGAUAAUGAGGCAAGAGUUUCAAAAAAAGCAUUAGGGAUAGACUGUUGUGUUUUAUAUAUAACGAGGUCCUUCAUGUCAAAAGUACAGCUAAUAUCAAAGUUUAGUUGCAAUUUAAUGAUAUAAUUAUUUGAUUCAAUCAUUUGCAACAUUUUGAAUGGUCUAGCACUACUCACUUGCAAUUUAUGAUUGGUUUUCAAAGGACACCGUUCAAGUCUAAUUUGUAUUAUGAAAUAAUCUUCAACAUUAAGUACAUCAUGAUACUUAUGUAAAUUAACUCGAAAUUUAUAUUGUUCAUUACUUGCUUGAAUUUGUUUUAUGAUCUCAACAUGCAAAUUAUAAAUUGUGCAUGCAAAAGACUCAGCUAAAUCAAACAUUUUAGGGUGAGGGGACAUAGAAAGGUGAUCUACAGGUUUUAUAAGUUCGCAACUAUGAAUACUAUAUGAUUGAGGAUGUGGAGUGGGACAAACAUUGUUGGAAACCUUAGCAGAUAUAGUUUGGACAUAACCUAGUAAAUCAAGAUUAUCUUCAUCUUUCUCACCACGUGUUAGUACUAAAGAAUCAUAAAGCUCAACAUAUUGUUCUAAAUCUAUGACAUGCUGGACAUCAAGCAUGAGGGGGUGAUGAGCAUGUUGUUCUAAACAUUUGAUGUGUUGGAUGUCAAGCAUGAUGGGUAGUGAAUCAGAUAGUUUAAGAGGACUAAUAUUACGAGACUCUUUUAAGACCAUAUUCACCUCUCCGGGCAAUUCCACUAAAGAUUUUCUUAAAACUUCUUCAUUUUCAGGCUCAUGUGGACUUAUAGUGUUAAGUCCAUCUUCUUGCGCAUUCUCUUCAUCUAGAUCACUAAAGUCGUUGGAAUUGGGUUCAUACACUUGCACACAAUAGUUUUCUUUAUCACCUAUUUCCUUAUAUUCUUGAAUGACUAAGGGUGUAGAGGUACAAUUAAAGAACAUAUAACCGAAACAUUGACAUUUAGCACAUUGGACCUCUGAACUCAACCAUACAUCUUAUUAACGACAUAUUUGCCCUUAUCUUCUUUAUAAAUCUUAGCACUACUAAGAUUAGGUCUACAGGGUGGAACACCUAAUAAAGAAUCAGUAUUUCUAAAUUGAGAUCUAAAAGGGAUCCUAAGAGGGUCCUGAUGUUUUAUCCAUCAACUUUUUAUAAGCAACUCAUAAUCUUGCACUACAGUAUAGGCUUGGUCAAGAGUGAAAGCACCUAUGAGCCUGAUCUCUUUUCUAAAAUCAUCAUUCAGACCUUUCUAAAAUCUAUGCAAAGUCAUGGCUUCAUUUUCCCUUAUGGCAUAUCUCAUCAUGUAAUCAUUAAACUGUGUUAUAUACUCAUUGAUAGACUUGUUCCAUUGUCUUAGAUUGUUUUAUUGGUCUAAGAGUUUAUUCCUAUAAGACUGGGGUAGAUACAUUUCCUGUAGUUUUUGUUUCAUCUUGGUCCAAUAAGUUAUAAGAGGCAUACCUCUCAUCUCUAAACAAUCAUCAACAUCUCUCCAAUAAAGUUUGGAUUCAUCAAUGAGUAUCAUCUUAGUAAAUCUAACUUUUCUAUUAUCAAACAAGUUAUGUAACUCAAAGAAUUGAUCCAUGUCACAAAUCUACAUAUCAAAGAUUUAAGCGUCAUGAUGACCAUAAAAAAUAAGGGCUUCUAUUUUGUUAUGACUUAAGACUCGCUCAUAAAAGUCGUUGUAUUUAGAGUAACCUAAAUGAUAGUCAUACUAGUGGCGCUCAAAGUGAACUAGUCCAUAAUAGUUAUUCUUGUGAUAUUUAUUGGUCUUUGGGUGCCUUAUUUGAAAACUCUCUUUGGCUCAAUUCUUUUAAACAUGUUGAUCAUCUAAGUUUGCAGUUCUCUUUAAAUUGUCAUAAGAGUAUCACUAAGGGUUGGGUCUACGGUAAGUGUAACUUAAGCUUGGACACUAGAUGAUCAUGACACAGAUGCAUGUAACACUAACUUAUAAAUGGAAUUGAGAUCACAAAUGAUUCUUGUAAAUGAAAUCACAAUAUAAAAAUAAAACUAUUUUUUUUAAUGUGGAGAUUAAUCAAGAACAAAAUACAACAAUAAAAUUUUAAGCAUGCAAUGCUAGACUUUUAAGUGUAAAUGAUUAAUCAAACACAAUGUCAUAAGCAAGAACUCACAAUUACCAAAUAGGACAAGAUACUAGAUAUCAAUGAUGGAAGAGGUUGACGAACAAAAAUUAACAAAUAUAAAAAAAUGCAAAGUGAUAUUUUUUUUUAUGAUUUUUUUUCUAGGCUCAAAAGUAAUAUUAAUAUCAACUUUAAAUGACAAAUAUAAAACCAUAAAAAGUAAAAUUCAACAAAUCAAAAGGGGGAGUGAUUCACUAACUAGAUUGCUGGGAGGAAGCUGGAAUUUGUUGUCACUGACAUGGAAAAAAUGCUGACGUGGCAGACUGGAUGACUUGCCUGCUGACAUGGCUGGUAGAAAUUGCAACAUGUUGGAUGAUGUGAUGCUGACAUGACUUCAUUGGCUGACGUGGCUGAUUAUGGUUGAAGUGGCAAUAGUGUGCUGAAAUGACAGAUGACGUGGUAGGGUUAAUUAAUUUUGCUUCAAAAGUCUUCUGUGGUUGCGUGGCUACUGAAGACGAAGAAAUAUUAUGGGCACGGAAGGUGGUGGUUACCACUGGUCUAUGUUACCGUUCUAUAUGUUGCUGAAGACGAAGAUCUUCUGUUGUCUCCUACGGUGUCGAUCUACUUCCAGUUAGGUCAAAAGCGGCAGAUGGUUGACCGUGGCGGAGGCUAUGGUAGCAUGGGUUGAGGUUGCUAACAUCCACUGAUCUGCUGUUGCUGGUGUUGACGAUCUGUUGUGGAGGUGCUAUGGGAGUGUUGGAUGUUGGUAUGGACCUGUGGACUGAUGUGAUGGUCUUUUCGUUGGUGGAUCUUGGAUGCUGCUAUGAUCGGUGUUGCUGUAGGUUGAGGAAGAGAUUGGCUGAGGCGUCGUUGAUGGAAUUUUUUUUUAUUAUUGUUGUUGUUGAUGAUGAACAUUUUUUUUUUUUUUUUGCAGAUCAAACUAUAAAUUCCACAUAGAUCGAUUAAUUGUGAGAACAAUUAAAACCCAAAGUUCUGAUAUCAAAUUUGAUGCGGAACAAUAAAUAAAAAAAAAUUAAAGCAUAAAAAGAAAUAAGCUUUUAAAGAAAAAAGCUAAAAAUUGAAAGCAAAGAAAGAAAAGAAUGGGAAUUGAAAAUAUGCAACUCUGUAAUAUUUUUAAUUAAUCAUUAAAACUCUAUAACAUUUAGAAAAGUAGAAUAUAAAUACUAAAAUCCUAACUAGAACAAGCGAUUGAGCUUAUGACCCACUAAAUAAAAUAUCCAACAAUAAUAAAAUCAAACCCAAAAAAUAAAGCUUAAUUAAUAAACCGCAACUAAAAGUUCAUAUAAAUUAAACUAAAACAUAAGAUAAAACCAAUUUCUUAAUGGUUUGGACUAUUCUCUAUCAUCUAUGAUCAUACUGUAAAUAUGUUUCAGGUUUGGUGUCCCCACACCAAUUAUUGAGUGGCACCAGAACUUCUUCUGCAAAUCGUCACCAUCCACGUACCAUAUUGCAAGCAAUUAGGCAAAAUGGCAACAUAUUCCAAUAAUUUCACCCGUUAAUGAUGGACUUUGAUAGAGGCAUAAGAAAACAGGAUACUUAAGAGGAUAUGUAAGUUCAUAAUACUGAUAAAGCUGUUUAUUAACGAUACUAUAAACAGUGAUACGUGAUAAUAAAGAAGGCUGAGGAGGCUGCAAAUCUGGAUUCAUCCCUCAAUUUUUAAUUUUUGGAAUGAGAAGUAGAGGUUGUUUUUUCUGCAAACUGGUGUGGAACUUAUCAGUCAUGUCUAUGUCUUUUGGAUCAUGUCCAGUAGGAAGUGACCAAUCAAAGAAAUGGAGCAAUGAAGCAAGAACCAAGGGAACAUGCUUGGUAGCCAUGGGUUGACCAGGGCAUGCUCUCCUUCCAGCACCAAAUGGUAUGAACUCAAUAUUGCUUCCUCUGAAAUCCAUAUUCGAAGUCAAGAAUCGCUCAGGUUUAUAAUCCAAUGGAUCUUUCCAACUCUUGGGGUCUCGUCCAAUUGCAUAAGCAUUCACCAACACUUGAGAGUUCUUUGGAAUGGUAUAGCCCAUCACUUUGCAUGAGUUCACGGCACGGUGAGGAAGAAGAAGUGGUCCUGGAGGGUGCAAUCUCAUGCUUUCUUUGAGACAAGCAUGAAGGAACUUUAGUCUAGGUAGAUCAGAUUCUUGUAUAAGGUCCUGGUUGGUUGAUUUCACUUGCUAGUUCCGCUUGAGCUUUUUUCAUGCAUUGUGGGUUCCUUAAUAGUUCUGCCAUUGCCUGCUGAGGUACUUGUGUCUGAACCAGCAACCAGGAGCUCCUGCAAAUAAACCAUAGAGCAUAUGAUACUCAACUUGUGUUGUGUGCCUGAUCAAUUCGUGGACAUGGAUAUAAAUACACACACACACACAUAUACAUACAGAGAGAGAGAGAGAGAGAGAGAGAGAGAGAUUAAACCAGAAGAAGGACAUUGAUAUGCUCAUUACUAGAACCGUUGCUGAUCAGAGUAUCAAGGAAAUCCUCUUUGCCUGAAGCAUUAUCAGAACUCAUCUUUCUUUCUCUUCUUUCUUCGAUGAUAGCUUCAAACAUGGUACUGAACCUCAAAUACAACUCCUUAGACUUCUUCCGUAGAUUCUGCAGAUCAAAUGGUGCUAGAAUAGGAAAAAGAUCGGAUAUAUUUGGAGCAGCCCCUACCUCGAAGAUAUUUCUUAUAAUUUCCGUCAUCUCUCCCUCCGUACUCUCUUGCUCCAUACUUAUAAGGUCACUUGAGAUGAGAAUAUUAGUCAACAUACUAAAAACAGCUGCAAAUGCUACUUUCUUGAUCUUCAACACCUUACCUUCCAUUGUUCUGAUAAAUCUUACAGUGUCUGCCGCCUUUUUCUCUCGCAAACAUGAUUGGGACAAUAGAGCUUUGUUUGAGAAAAGCUUGGAUUGGCAAACAGUUCGCAAAAACUUAAAUUCAUUGUUGACUUCUCCAAUCCAUCCAAGGGACAAAUUUUCAAGCUUUAACCACUUGGCUGGUAUUACGUCAGGAACAAACCUACCGGACAAAAAGCGAUCCUGAGUUUUUAGAAUUUCGGUGGCAGCUUCUUGAGAUGCGGCAAGAAUAACAAGCUGGCUGCCAAGUCUAAGUGAGAAGAGUGGUCCGUAGGUUUUUGCUAGACUGGCUAGAGUAAUAUGAGGGCUAUUUCCAAUUUGUAGGGCAUUGCCUAAGAUUGGCCAUGAAUAUGGCCCUGGUGGUAGUGGUGCAAAUCUUGAUGAAUACAGUGUCUUGAGCUGCUUGGCAAUGAGAUAAAUGAGAGGCAAGAGAAAGAGAAUAGUAAAAAGAGUAUUGGAUGAUAUUUCUGUUACUAUUGUUGCCAUGUUUUGCCUAAUUGCUUGCAAUAUGGUCUGCGAAUGAUCUCAAUUAUUUAACGUGGUGAUUCGCAGAAGAAAAGCAGGUGCCACACAGCUAUCACUCAAUAAUUUAGCAAGAAAUUAAAAGUAUCGUUGCAGUGUUUGUGUCACAUAUAAUUUAAUGAAAGUUGGAGAUCUGGUGAAAGAAUCCUUAUGGAUUUCAAUAUGAUUAAGUAGUUGGUAUUUUAUUAUAACAUGUUUUUUAAAUGUCAUGUGGUGAAUUUAGACAAAAAGAAGUUUCAAAACAUCAGCUGACGUCGUGAAAACAAUAAUUUUAAGAAGGGGGCUGGUAAUCCUGUUGAAAUGAAACUAAUGUAAGAAUCUCCCGUAUUGCCAAGUAAUUGAGAGGAAUUAGAUCAUCAAGAACUCCUUCAUGUGCAGGCAAAGUGACGCGGGACAUGUAUCAACAAGUUCAAGUUGAAUAAAAAGUCUAGACGAGUCAAAAAAAGCUUUCUGACGAAAUUGAACAUAACUUUUCAUGCAAAUCAUUACAUUAGCUUUUAGUUGUGAAAAUAGGAAGCAGUCAUUUGAAAAGUUCAUGAUUUAUCACCCUUCAAGCUAAAAUUAGUAUUACUCUUUAAGAAUGAAAUCCUCGAAAAUUGGCUCCCUGAUGAUAAUGAUGCAGUUUCAAGCCCUGUCCAAAACCUUUCCUAGGAAAAUUCUGUCGACAGCAACAAUUUCUGCUUUUCUGGUGUAGUUGAGGAUCUGAACAAGCACUCCAGAAAGCGGGACACAAAUGGAAGGCAGCCUUGAAGCAAAGUAUUUCCAUAAUCCAUGGACUGUAAUAUCUGCUGUAGCAGCUGCUGUUCUUCUCAUACUCGCUAUCAUACAAACAGUGUGUUCAAUCAUUCAAGUUGUUUGAUUAAGCUAUUUCAGUUGUAUUCAGUGAUCGCUUCCUCUUAAAUUGCUAUAUAUGUCCUUCUAUAACUUACAAAUAUUUCCUCCCAGUCUGGCUUCCUCUGCUACAUGCCCGAUUGGGAAUGUAGGCGUGACUGCCAUUGCAACCGCGAUUCAAGCUAAGAGCAUCAAGAAGAUGAGCGAUCAAAUGCAAUCAAUGUGAUAAUAAAAUAACAUUCAAGAACUAUCCAUUGAUCAAGUUGUUAGAAUAUUUUAUAAAAAAAAAUAUUUUUAUUUAUUAAACCAGUUUUGCUCAAAUUAUUAAAUACAUUUAUUUUGCUUUAAUGGGAAAAUGGUAGCUUUUAAAAAAUCAUUAAAUUGUUUUUGUAGUGCUAAUAGUUUGAUCGAACAUCAUUGCAAAUUCACAAGUAUCGCCGGGCAAUCGUUUAAGUUUACAAGUCGACCCAAGAAAUGAAGAUUCUGACUGAAAAUCAUAAUUAUAAGACCUAGCCUAGCCUGCUCUAUUAUUCUGUCCGAGACGAGUCACUUAAUUAACUCUUCUGGCAAAUAGUUUUAAUUUAUUGAAAACAGUUUUAGUUGUUAGUCUUUGGGUGCAAUAAAUCCCAGUUUAAACUCGUCGACAGAUCAAGAUAUAGUGUGGUUAAUUUGUUUUUUCAGACCAGCCAAGUUGAUGUCAGAAAUUUUUUAUUCCUUAGCAGCAUCUUCUAAAGUUUAAGAUUAUAUAUAUAUAGUGGAGGGGCGGGGCUAGGAAAUUUUUUAAGACAAGAUCUUGAAAAAAAUCUCCAGGAGGGCGAAAUAUAAAUUUUAAAUUGUUUAAUUUUUUAUUUUAUAUAUAGUGUGGUUAAUUUGUUUUUUCAGACCAGCCAUGUGAGAAAUUUUUUAUUCCAGCAUCUUCUAAAGUUUAAGAUUAUAUAUAUAGUGGAGGGGCGGGGUAGGAAUUUUUUCAAGACAAGAUCUUGAAAAAGAUCUCUAGGAGGGUGAAAUAUAAAUUUUAAAUUUUUAAAUUUUUUUUUUUUUUUGACAGGCCCAGGCUUCCUGACAUGACAGACCAACAAAUCUCACUUUAAAAUUUUAUCUACAAUUAGAAUAAAUAUAAUUGCUAAAAAAAAAACAUUAGAGUAAAUGGAAAAAGCUUGGGUUAAGGUAUUUAUCUUUUUUAUGAUUUUAGAUUUGAAUUUUGUAGUUGUUAAUAUUAAUAAUUAUUAGAUAUUUAUCUAAUUGUUAACUUUAAAAUCUUUAAAGAUUAGUUGAGUUAAGCCGCACAAAGCUGACUCGGCCCUCUCAUUAAUUAAAAAAAAAAAAUUGUUAAACAAGGAGUGUAUUAGGAAGUGCCUUUGUUAGGUUUGGGCAGUCAUUUGUAUACAGCUCCUGAAGGAGAGAGAAUUUCCAUGGCUUCUUCAUAGCAGUGCAACUUCCAUAGAGCUCAGAACCCCAGUCACAACUUCAGAACCCCCAUUAAUUCAAAUUAGACUUGUUCAGUUUUAACAAAAGUAGAACCGAGCUUAACAGAACCGAACCGAGCUCUUUCAUACAGUAAAGAUUCAGUUCAGUUGGAUUGGAUAAACCAAACCGUUGCUCAUCCCUACAAAAAGUUAUAUUUGCUCCAUUGCGAACCAGGAUCCCUUUAAUCCGAAGGCAGAGGCUAUGCAAGCCCUACCUCUUGUCCGUGUAAAGAGUAACACAAUGAAGAAACUGAUCUAAAUAUUUUGUGUAUCUACAUUUAGCUAGCCAAUAUAUCCAUAAUUCUUGAACCAAAAAGUAACACUGAGGAAACAUAUAACUAUUCAAGGUAUGUUUGAUAGGACAUGAUCCUAUUUAAUGAUAAGAAACACAACUAAUCAUAGUUUAUCAAUCAUAAAACAUUCAAAAGAAGAGGAACUAUGCCCUCUUUUGGGCAAUGCUGUUGUUCAUGAAACCUAUUAACUACGUGUGAAUUUAUAUGAUGAUACAAUCAUAACAGAAUUGCGGCGAAAUAUAUAAAAUCAGACUCAAAUUACAUGGUGUAUACCAGCAAUGACUUGUCAUUAGAAAUCAGUUUAGAUUAAAUUAGGGUGCUGAGAUUCCUACACUGCUAGAGUAACUAACACCAGCUGAUGGGAAACUUUUAGAAGAGAAAUCAGCAAUGCAUUUGCAAAAAAAUCCAAAGGCGUUUUCUGAAAGAACUUCUAAAAAAUGUUCUACAGUUUUCAUAAACCCUAAGGUAAUGUUGGCAACCCUACAUUUCGUAUACCAGUAACACCAGCUUAUGGGAAGAUUAAUUAGAAGAGAAAAUCAACAACGCCUUCGCAAAAACAAGGGCAUUGCCUUUACAUACAUAGUGUUUUCUGAAACAAUUUUUCAAAACGGUUUCUGAAACAAGGAGAUAUCAGGAAUCUAACAUUUCUUGCGCUAAAUUAACACCAGCAUGUGAGAAACAUUUUGAAAGCAACUCAAUAACAGUCUAUAAAGCGAUUGACUUUACACCAUGUUAUCUUAAUUUCAAGAACAUAAACUACAUAUAUAACAAAAACCAACAUUAAAAUAGAUAAUUGUGCAUCGAAAGCAUCAAAGUUGAUUCCUUAAACCAUAAAUUUCAACCAGUCACCACUGCCGAACUUGAUCAAAAUUAACAAAAUCACAUCACAAACAUAGCACCAAAAGAAAACCCUCAUCAAGCAAACAUAAUUAACCAACAAAAAGCUUAUUGUUAAUAACCAUAAAGAAUCCAACCAACAAUCAAUAAGCGGUCAAAACUCAAAAACCUAACAAUAAUUCUUUGAAAAACAACAGGGUCCUGUCUAAAGGUGAUUCAGUUAGUCACCACCAGCCUUCUGAUAAACAUAGGUGAGGCCGCACUUACCACAAUAAUGCCUAUCAAAAUGAUUAGCCAUAAAAGUACCAGCCCCACAUUCGGCAUUUGGGCACUCUUUUCUCAGCCUCUGGACUUUGCCACUGUCGUCAACUUUAUAGAACUGAAGAACAGCAAGCUUGACCUUCUUCUUCUUGUGCUUGAUCUUCUUGGGCUUGGUGUAAGUCUUCUUCUUUCUCUUCUUGGCUCCACCCCUCAAGCGAAGCACCAAGUGGAGUGUGGAUUCCUUCUGAAUGUUGUAGUCUGCAAGUGUACGUCCAUCUUCUAGUUGUUUUCCGGCGAAAAUAAGACGUUGCUGGUCUGGUGGGAUGCCUUCCUUGUCUUGGAUUUUGGCUUUGACAUUGUCGAUUGUAUCUGAAGAUUCGACCUCGAGGGUUAUGGUCUUCCCCGUCAAGGUCUUCACGAAGAUCUGCAUGUCUUCUGGUUUCUUGCUUUCCUCUCUUUUUUGCGACGUAGCUGGUGCAGAGGAGCAGCGGGUAGUUUUUAUAUUAGGGUUUUGUUUAUUGGCAGUGUACGAGUUUCUCCCUUGUUUUUCCACCUAUUUACAAUGAAAUCCAUAAUCUGGAGCAGGCUUUUUGGUGGGCUGCAUCAAGAUUAUCUUAGACCAAUUUUAUUUUUAUUCUUUUCAGCUGGGCUGGACCAUAUUUAUAUAUGAAGAAUGAAUACAUAUAGUCUAAACUAUAGUUGUUAUCUGAUCUAGAAAUUGUUCUAUAAAAUUUCUGAGUCACUCGAUCAAUGCAGUCAAUGAUUUUUAUGAGGUUAAUAUCCUUUUAAAUUUAGCUUAAAAAUCAGCAUUGACAGACUUUAGAUCACGUGUUUUCUAGAUCAAUCCAUGAAUUUGAAUCGGCUUUAAAAAUUAUAGUUUAAACUUCUCAAAAGUUUUUAGCCCAGGUGUAGAGUGAAAAACCACUGGAUCCAUCCACUAUGAGUAUAUGAUAAAAGAAUAAAUACAAUGAUUUGUGUCUCAAGUUAGUGUCCAAACUUAAAACCUAUACCAGUUCGGCAAAGUACGAGAAAGCCGUUGUCCUAUGACCAUGUACGAUGAUUUUUCAUUAUCAGAAUACCAGAACUUGCUAGCAGAAGAGAAACCUCAAACUGUGGUGUACAAAGCCUUGCUCUAUCUGUGAUCAGAACACCAGGCGUGAGGCCUGCAUCCUAAGCUAACUUGGACUUGGCUCCCUUGAGAAGGAUUCCAUGUAACCUUACAUGCCACCUUACACUUGAAUGAACCAAAGAAGACAAGACCUUCAAUGGGGCUAGACCAAAAACAGGGCGAAGUUACCCUAACAUGGAGUCCACGAUCAGUGAUUAGCUUCCUUUCUGGUUCUAUGCUUUGUUAUCUUGUUCGGACUCACCUGGGCUGCUUCUAACUCCAACACCAUACGAGUCACAAACACCAUAACCAUACACUGCAUUACAGAGAAAACCACUGACAAUUUUCUUUCAAGUCACUGCUUUUGCUACAGCAAUGAAUGGACAAUUCUACUGGUGCAAGUUAAUUUAGCUGAUAAAGGCACAAAAAUGUGUAUUAAAAUUAAAUUAGCAAUGGUAAAAUCAUCAUUUGACUUUUACAGAGCAUUAUAGAGUAAUUUUUGGUGAUCUAAACCACUCUUUAUUAAUUUAAGAAUACUAAAAUGGUUCACAGGAAAGGAGCAAGGAAUAUAAGCAUGUGUUAUACAAAUCAAGAUGAAUAAUAAAGUGCCAAUAACUCUGAGAAUUUAGCAUAUGUUCAAGAAAGAAGAAGAACAGGCAAACUAACAGGACAGGUUUUUCUCAAUUCGAAGACAUUGAUUCAAUAAUUUCCGAUCCACUUCUGAGCAACAUGAGCUAUCUUGGGCCAAUCUUCACCACCUUGGCGACACCUUUCGUCUAACAACUCACAAUCAAAGAUUGACAAUGAGGAAAGUGAGGCUGGCAACCCCAAAGUAGGCAAGGAUGCAAUCUUUGGGCAGGAUUGUAUACCCAAACUUUCAAGAUUCAAGAGAUCAUGCAGACCCGAAGGAAGUGAUUCAAGGUUUGCACAUGCUGAAAUUCGCAAACUCUUGAGUGAGCUCGGAAGCUUCUCUUCUGGAAAAGAUACAAGUCUAGGGCAAUUGAGAAUGCUCAGAUCUUGAAGAGAUGAUAGACUUUGUAGCCCAUUUGGUAGAUCCUUCAAAUCAUUGCACGCUCUUAUUGAAAGAUAUUGCAGAGCGAGAGGAAACCCUUUUCCUGAAAAUGACCUUAGUUUCGGACAAAACAAAAUUUCUAAGCGUUGGAGGGAAGGAAGAUCAUGUAAGCCCAACUCCUCUUGCAAUGUCCUCAGCCGAUAGAAGUGCUUGAUCCUGAGUUCUUUCAGUGAACUUAGUGCCUGGAAAAGGCCUUCAGGAAAUACUUCUGUCCUCCGAAAGUUUGAAAUUUUCAACGAUGAUAGAGAGGUGAGGAGUGGGACCGAACUCCAUAUUGUCUCAUUACAAUCGUCUAGCAACAGUUCACAUAGAGCUGGAAAUUUUGGAAGACUUGAAAUAUUGGGGCAGUUCAGAACAGCAAGCUCCUGGAGCUUCGGAAAUUCGCCAUGGUCAAUCUCUUGCCAUUCCUUCAAAUUUCUCAUGUCUUCAAGCUUUAGUUUCUCCAAGGAAGGAAACCCCUUAAUCUUUCCCUCACCAUAAAACUCACGGCCAAUGUUUUCGACCUCACACAUCAUAUAUAUGGAGAGAGAUUUGAGAGAAGGUAGUUGCCCGAGAGGUGGCAGGGUUUUGCAGUAGUUACAGUGAAAGAAUUCGAUCUUUUCUAAGUGGGAUAACGAAGAAUAUCCCAUCCAAUUUGGAAACUUCGCACCAGGAUACACGUCAAUCCUUAAUUCUCUAAGGUUAGUAUGUGGUUCUAGACAUUCAAGCAACUCAUCAUCAAUUCCAUCUGGUCGACAUCUGCCCCAUCUUAACACCAGCUCGUUUAUAUAUUGCUUCUUCUUUAAGUUGGCUUCCUUUGCUUCUGUGAUGUUAGGAACAUCUCCAACCGUAUCAAUACAAAGCGUUGCUCGAAGCUCGUUCAUGUUCUUCAACUCGCCAAUUCCACACCCAAUCCCUUUUCCAGCAACAAUUCUGUGUAGCCUUUGCAAAGAAGUUAGUUUCCCAAUGUCAGGAGGCAUGGAUAUGAGCUGCCCGCAUCCAGUCAAAUUAAGAUGGCGUAGAUUCACCAAAUGAUUUGUGUCUCCAGGCAAAGCAUGGAGAUUCUUGCAAUUGAUAAGAACCAGAGUCUGCAGAUUGUAGAGGCUGCAAAUUGAUUCAGGUAGCACCCUGAUGGAAGUGUGAGAGAGAUCAAGAAACCUGAUAUGCCUCAAAUUUCCCAUUAAAUCUGGCAGCUCCUUUAUAGCAGAAUAACACAGGUCUAGUGACCGUAAGCAUCUCAAAGAGAGUAUCAAAUCAUGAGGGACCUUCGCACGAGGCUCCCUGCAAAGCAAAAGCAUCGUUCGUAAGCUUUUUGAUGUACGGAACGCCUCAAACGGAACUGAUUCCGAUUUGUUAACCAACACAGAUGAAUGCCGAACUUUUUCUCCAAUGUCUUGCAAUUUUUUGACAUCCAAUGUGAAGCAUGAUUCCCCAGCUACAAACUGUGCCAGGUCAUGAAUCAAGUCAUGCAUAACAAACUUCGAGGGAUUGGUUUUGGAUCGUUGAAAAAAUGACCUCAACAAUAAAUCGUGAAAAUAGCCAGAUGCAACAUCUUCCAAGCAUCUCCUUCCCUUGGAAAUAACAAAACCCUCUGCCAUCCAUAGCAAGACUAGCUUCUCCUCAUCAAAAUUGUGAUCUUUUGGAAAUAUGGAGCAGUAUAUGAAACACUGCUUCAGAUGUGCCGGAAGAUGAUUGUAGCUUAGCCUCAGAGCCGGCAGAAUUUCAUUCUCCUCCACUUCCAAGUCCCAUAGAUCGCUUUUCAAGAUCAUUUCCCAUUCAUAAACUUCAGUUGUCGAGUGUAGGAGUCCUCCAAGUGUCUUUGCUGCCAGAGGCAAACCUCCACAUUUCUUCAAAAUUUCCUUGCCAAUUGGUACCAAGUUUUGAUGUGCAUCUUCAUUCCCAUCUAUAAAUGCCCUCUGUUUGAACAACAACCAGCAAUCAUUUUCAGAUAAACCUUCCAAACGGAAAGGUGGAAAUGUGCCCGUGAUUGAUGCAACCUUUUCACUUCGGGUAGUUACAAUGAUUUUACUUCCAGAUGCUCCAGCUCUGAAAGGAAGGCGAACCACAUCCCAGUCACUUUUCUUCUCAUGCCACACAUCAUCAAGCACAAGCAAGAACCUUUUCCCCCUCAACUUCUCCUGGAGACUUGUUUGUAGGAUAUUCAAAUCCAUGAGAUCACAACUUUUCCUUUCAACAGACUCCAAGAUCGAUUUUGUCAGCCUUUGAGCAUUGAAGUCAUCAGAGACACAAACCCACAUCUUCAAAUCGAAAUGGACAGUUUCAUCAUUGAACACAAGCUGAGCGAGAGUUGUCUUUCCCAGGCCUCCCAUGCCCACGAUGGGAAGAACCCCAACAUCAUUUCCACAAUAGUCAUCAGACACUAACAAAUUUACAAUCUCCUUCUUAUCCUCCUUCCUACCAAAAACACAGGAUUCGUCGAUUAAGGAGCUAGUUUGCAACCUCUCCCUGUCCCUCGUUUCGAUCCAUGUUGCUCCAGCUCCCUCUCUCAAACCAAGCUCGUCCCUUUCUUUAGCUAUUUCAUCUAGCCUCUCAUUGAUUUCCUUUAUCUUAGGAGCUAACCCAAGUUUAAAGAGAAAAUCUUUAGAUAGAGAGAUCAAGCUGCUAGCCUUUUUCUCUUGGUUAAACCGAAAAGCUUCAGUUGCAACCUCAUCUAGCACAUCGUCUGCAUCAUAAGCGACUUCUUUGAGGUCACUUAGCCAAAGCUUCACUGCCAUGUCAUUUAUUUGCCUUGCCUCAGCAUCAUUAAGCACAGCUUGAAUUUUCGCAAGAGUUCUUGUUAGUUUCUUGAGAUCCUUGUCGAUGCCAAUCCGUGCACCAAAUUCUCUCAAGAUAGGUGAAGCUAAGUUUUCAAGAGCUACCUGCAGUGUGGCAGACAGAAAAGCCUGUCCAAUGACUGUAGCCAUUUCUUCUUCAAAAAAGAAAAAAAAAAAAGUAAAUUUCAAGCAGAAAGAAAACCGGUGAGCAGAGGCUCAGAGCUAUGAGAUCCCCAAAAAAAAAAAUAUUUUUGUGAAAUGGGGUGUGAUUUGUGGUCAGAUUAGGUUGAUUGAAAUCAUGGAACCAAGGAGGAAAAGAGGAGGAAAUGAGUCUAAAAGUCUUUUAUCAUGGCGGAACCAACGAGGAAAAGAGGAGGAAUGAGUUUAACUGCGUUUGUUCAUAGUUUUUUUUUUUUAAAUAACCGAAAGUAAAUUUUAAAAAAUAAAUUAAUUUUUAAUAUAUGAUAGCGUAAUAAAAAAUAAAUUAAAAAACACUUUUUAGGUUAUGUUAUAAAAAAAAGCUGAAAAAUAACUUAUUAAUAUUUUAUUUUUUUCAAGUUUAUUAAAAUAAUGAGGAACAAAUCUUACAAAUUAAAAAGUUGAAUAAGAAUAAAAUUGAAAAAAAAAUAUAAUUUCAUAAAUUAUCUUAAAUAAAAUAAAUAAUAAUUAAAAUAAUAGAGAUAAAAUCUAAAAAAUAAAAAAAAUGAAAGAUGAAGAAAUUAAAAUAAAAAUAAUUAACAUUUCAUAAAUUAUUUCAAAUAAAAUAAGUAAUAAUCAAAAGAAUAAAGAUCAAAUUUGAUAAAUAAAAACUUUCAAUAAAACAAUGAUAAGAGAAAAGCAAAUAACAAUUAUAAAAAUGAGGACCAAAGUUAAUAUAAAAAUUGAAUUUUAAGAGAUGAAAUUGAAAAAUAAAUAUUCAAAACAAAAUAUAUAUAGCAAUCAAAAGUUUGAGAACCAAAUUUGAUAUAAUCAGCAAAUAAUAUGACAUUUCUAAAUUUUUCAUAACUUCCGGAAAGUGUUUUCCGCUUAAAUUUUUCAGGAAAACACUUUCCUGAUAAUCAAGCCAAAUUUUUCUUUGACUGAAAAGUGUUUUUCAUUAACCAACUUUUCUAAUAACAAACAAACACAGGAAAGAACAAUUUUAAAAAUCUUUACUUGGUACGAGAGGAUGAAAGGACAGAUCUCUGGUGUACCAGUUACUGUGUCCAUACUGCUGAAAGCAUAUAAGUAGUAGGCCAACUCCAAGAUGAGGUGCUCUCCUAUUCUGACUUCCCCAAAGCCUCCGGUAGCACUUGAAAAGCGUGGUACAAUUAUGAAAACAAACUAUAUUUAAGUUAUGUUUAUUUUUUAAAAAAUAAUUUUUGAAAAAUUACUUUUUAAAUUUUCAUGUGUUUGUUUAUUAUUAAAAAAAUUAAUUAACAAAAAACACUUUCCAAUUAAAGGAAAAUUUAGCUUGGUUUCCAGGAAAAUGUUUUCCUGGAAAAUUUGGACGGAAAACACUUUCCGGAAGUUGUGAAAAAUUUAGAAAUGUCAUAUUAUUUGCUGAUUAUAUCAAAUUUGGUCCUCAAACUUUUGAUUGCUAUAUAUAUUUUGUUUUGAAUAUUUAUUUUUCAAUUUCAUCUCUUAAAAUUUAAUUUUUAUAUUAACUUUGAUCCUCAGUUUUAUAAUUGUUAUUUGCUUUUUCCUUAUCAUUUUUUUAUUGAAUUUUUUUAUCUAUCAAAUUUGGUCCUCAUUCUUUUAAUUGUUACUUAUUUUAUUUGAAAUAAUUUAUGAAAUGUUAAUUAUUAUUAUUUUAAUUUCUUCAUCUUUCAUUUUUAUUUUAUUUUUUAGAUUUGAUUUCUAUUAUUUUGAUUAUUAUUUAUUUUAUUUGAGAUAAUUUAUGAAAUUAUAUUUUUUUCAAUUUUAUUCUCAUUCAACUUUUUAAUUUGUAAGAUUUGUUCCUCAUUAUUUUAAUAAACUUGAGAAAAAUAAAACAUUAAUAAGCUAUUUUCCAGCUAAUUUUUCAUAACAUGACCAAACACUGGAAAAUGUUUUCCAACUUAUUUUUCAUUACACUACCAAACAUCAGAAAAUAAUUCACUUUUCAAAAGAAAACUACUUUCCAGUAAACAAACGGGCCUUAAGUUUUUCAGGGGUGUUUUAUAUUUAAAAUUGUGUUUAUAAGUGUCAAAAAUAUAUUUAUCUUGAAAAAAAUAUUAAAUUAAUAAUUUUAAAUAAUUUUAAUAUUAAAUUUUUUUAAAAAACAACUUUAUAUAUAUUUUUUAAAAAUAUAAUUUUAAUAACCAAUUGAUUCAAUUUCCGUUUCUGCUGGACAAGAAAUGAAGAACAUAAACAAUACAAGGAACAAGGGAAUACCAGACAAUAUCUGCUUUCGCGCCAUGACAAUCUCCACUCUUUCAGUAAUAGACCCCAGUCAACUCUCUCACUUGGGAGUUGACUUACUCAGAAAAGGUCAUGGAGCAGUUUUAUAACUAUAGCUUUAAUAAACAUUCUCAAAUUUUAGAGAUUAAUCGUCCUUAAUUUUUUUUUAAAAAAAGAUUAAUCAUCAUUAAAAAAAAAGAAGAAGAAGAAACUAAACUUGUAAACAUCAGGCUAAUAUUUGAAAUGCCUCAUUGGAGUCCUUUUUCCUUCAUAAAAUCAGUGGAUGGAAACUUUAGAAAUUAAAAAUUAUAUAUUUAAAAAAAAACUGAAAAGGGUGUUGUAUUAUCAACAAGAACAAUAAAUUCAUUAUCUAGCCCUUAAAAAAUAGGGUAAUUUUUUAAAAAUACAGCUUAACUAGUUAAAUUUUAGAUUUGCUCUCUAAAUAUCAUUGGUUCGAAUCUUACAAAUCUUAAGACUACUGAAAAUUUACAUGGUUAUUAAUUUUAGAGCUCGUGAAAUUAGUUAAAAUGCACGCAAACUAAUCUAGAUAUUUAUAUUAAUAAAAAGAAAUAAACUAAUGUUGGAGGAUAAAAUAAUAUUGAAAUAUAUCAUUUUGACUUUUUAAAAUUGAUAAGAGAUAGGACGGGUUUUUAAUUUCCUUUUUGUAUACUAAUAUUAUAUCGACGCUUUUAAAAGAAAAAAGUUAUUUGUCUGCUAUAAAGAAGUACUUUUUAUCUUUUCAUUUGAUUAUCCACAGUAAAAUAAUUAUAUUAUCCCUUGAGAUUAUGAAAAAAAAUUAACUAACAAUGUAGGCUUCUUAUAUCUUUUAAUUUUUCAAAUCAAUCCCUAAACUUCUCUUUUUAUUUUUUAUUUUGUCCUUGUUCUUUUCAUUAUAAUUUUUUAAAAGAUAAUUUAUUGAAUUAGAUUUUUGUUUUGAUUCCAUCCUCAUUUAAUUUUUUGCUUUGUCAAAUUUGGUCCCCAUCUUUUAAUUUAUAUUUUUUGUAAUCUAAGAUAAUUUUUAGAGUUGUAUUUUUUUUAUUUCACCCUUCUUAAUUUUUUUUUCUAAUAUAUUUCAUCCUUAUUCUUUUAAUUGUUGUUUUUUUUUUCUUUGCAAAACUCUCAAGAUUGCUAUUUUUAUCUGAUUGUAUUCUUUAACAUUAUAUUUGUUAGGAUUUAAGCUUCUUAGUUAAACUCGUGUCUAAGAUUUCACAGGUUGCAAACUUUAGAAAUUAACUCAACUUCAUGAGGUUUACCUAAGAUUACUUUGGUUUUUUACUUUUUAAGUUAAUAUUUUUUUGAUUUCAUCCUCCAAUAUUUAUUUAAUUUGAGAGUGAACUAUGUUUUUUUUUUCAUGCUUUAUAUGACGUUGGUUUUAUCAUUUUUCUUAUUUAAUUGGAUUACCUUUAGUCUUUUUAUUUGUUGUUCUUUAUUAAAUUUAUUUUUUAAAAUAAAUUUUAUUCUUGAAUUAAGUAGAAUUGAGUGGUUGAAUAUAGACCAAUGCUCAUUUCAUUUUGUUUUGUUCAAUUUGGUUUUAUAAGACAUUGCUUUGGCGACUCAUAUGGCUUUUUUAGAUGUUAUCGUCUAGACUUUUACAGUCGGGUUUAAAUUAUCUCAACAAUAGUCUAGAAUUUUGCAAUUAGGUUUAAACUGUUUCAACAAAUUUUUUUUUAUGAAAAGCAAUAACCACAAUAAAAUGAUAGUGAGUUUCCAAUAAUUUUUUUUUUAUCUUGUUCCAUAUAUAAUAUUAAUGGCUUAUUUGUUUUACUUGGCCAAAUGUUUUUUUUUAUGGUUCAGAUGCUAUCAUUAUCUAUAAUUUAAAUCAAAUUAUUAAGCUGCCUGGUCUUAUUAGAUCUUGUCAAAUUUACGAAUAAAGUGUCAAGUUUUUCUUGUUUCUUUAAAAAAAUAUUGUAGUCGUCUAAGUACUUUUUUUGCGUGCCAAACCGGCGCUAAUGCAAAGAUGCGGUCAAAGUUAGAUAACCAAUGAAUUCGAUGAGAAAAGUUCAAAGUUAACCACCCUAGUUAAUUAAGUAACUCAAAGGUUCAGCACAUAGCAUGGACAAGGCUCCAAUUUUAUGACCAGGCUAAUGCAAAGAUGCGGUCAAUCACCAACACUGAUGGAUGGUGCUUACAAACAUCAAGCUAUAAUCCAGGCCGCAUGCACAGCACCCAGUCUUUUGAGAGCAAGCCGGGACCUAUGCCAAUCAGUAGAGAAUGAUAGAAUGCAAAGAGUUCAAACACAAUUCUCCAACAUAACAAUGUUUUCUUUCAGAUCUGGAUAAAUGAGUUUCGGAAUUUUUACACCAUUUGAACCUGUAUAGCAUUCAGCUUUGCAACUCAGUUCCACACAAUCGUCGUAUGCAUGAUAACAAAUUAAAUACAACAUACUAAACAAAAUCUACAUCAUAUUCUGGUAUUAUAUCUGAUUUAAUGUAUUUUAGAUUGUCACUGAUGCAAAAAAUAUUUGUUUUUCCCUUUUCUAUGGAUAAAAUCAACACCAUCAAAGAACACAUUAAGUAACACAGCGGUAAGUUACCAGGUGAUCAACAAUUUCACCGCUGUAUGUAAUUUUCACCGUCUGCCCCUUCUGCAGUCCAUAGUAUUGCACAAUAGCAUCAGAUUCUAGCAUUCUUGGGAGCUGAAAGGAAAAGGCAAAUAAAAACAGUCAGAUAAUGUGCUUUAGCUUGAUCAAUCAUUUAACAGAUACCUUUGCCACAAAAACAAUGGAAUCGGAACAUGCUAGAUAGUAGAUAGUACAGCUGUAGCAGAAUUUCAACCUUCUAAUUCUCAAGAGAAAACCACGUAAAUGUUGCUUGUAACUUCAAAUUUAUACUUCUAAACAGAGCUUUAAAGAAACUGUUUUCAGGUAUGAGCAUAGCCCACAUGCCCUGCACCAUACCAUGCUUCGUGCGUUACCCUAAAUUUGUAAUGAAAAGCUCUACAAAAACAAUCUGCUUUGGAAGGUUACCUUUAUGAGUAACUAGAUUCCAACAAAAAUAAAUCUUGUGGAACUCAAAGGAUAAUUGAGGUAAUAAUUUCAGGGAACAGGGAGACCUAUAAAUGUGAAAUGCAAUGCAUGUCUGGGUAAAUCCACAUAAGGAUGUUGAUAUCAAAAGGAUGUCCCUUUAUAAUGCCAUUCACUUUUUUGGCAUGUCAUCUUAUAACUACAUAAUACCUGUUUGUCUUCCAACUUGUAUUUGUUCAUAACCUGUUGCUUCUGCUCAGCGGUCAGUAUAUCCAUCUGUGGCUGCAGAACAUGCUUGGUGAUGUUCACCAGCAGGUCAGUGAUCUGAAUGCAUAGAAACCAUCAAGUAAUUGUCAAACAUUUGAAUGAGAAACCUUUUUAAACAUAAGCUAAAUUCUAAAAGGACUAUAAGCUAUAUAAAGAGGAAACGCUAGUCAGUUGACAAUUUCCCUAACUUUGGUGGCGAAAGAGCAUAGAAAAAUUGCAAGGACAUAGGAGUACCGCUAGUAUAACAGACAUGAUUGAAGAGUGACUAGCAUGGCCUCUAGCAGCCAGAAAUUAGUAUCAUUAAUUAAAUCCCUGAGCGCUCUAACUUUUUACUGAUGGCCUUACAACGAACUGCAGUAUGAAAAAUUAUUUCAGCAACAAGGGAACAUACUUGAAAAACCUCCACUUUGAAUGGAAACUUCUCCAGCUCUUUCUUGGCAAAGUGGUUCAUUUUGCUUUGCAAGAUGAGUAUGAGCCCAUGUAGACUCUCUUUGUUAAGAAUCUGACCAUAAACAGUCCUGAUAUUUGCUGUUUUAAUUUCAUCAGUUCCCAAGAACAUCACCAGGGUCUGCAGAACAGUUCAAGAAAACUAUGACCAGGAUUUCCAUACAAAUUUUGCCUAAUAGAAAGUACUUAAACUAGGGCUGCUCCUGUCUCAUAAUUCCACCUUCACAUGUUACUCCAAGCAUGAGAUUUUUAAGAAAAUAAAAGGCCAACUCAGGUUUUGAUCGACAAAAUUCAAUUCGAAAUCCAUUUCUUCAUCAUUUCUGUAUAACCUGCACUAAUAUGUUUGCAACCCCAAAACUUGUCACAAUCAACCAAGUAACGUGCCCAACAAAAAGGGUGAUAACCCCAAGGAUAAGUCAUAAAAAUGCAACAAACCAUCAUAAACACCAUUUGGCGUGCAUAUGCAACAGCCCAUUUUUCAUUUCAUUUUUCUCUUCAAAAAGGGUCAUGUCCUUUAAUGAAUCAAAACAUAAUGAAAACACAAGAUUUUAAACAGUCUACUUAGAAACCAAAUCAAAAGGCAUAAACUUUAUAAAUGGUAUAAAAUAAUGCAAUAAAAAGUUGCCACAUUACAACUCCUCUGUCCUCUACGCAAAAACCCCAUGAAAAUAAACAAAUAUAAAUUAUAAGAAAUACUAUAUUAUUAUUAUUGUAAAACCCCACAUCAUAAAAGCGAUGGAAAUACUCAAAAAAAUAAUAGAAAUGAUAACAACAACAACAACAACAACAGCACCACCAACAACAACAACGAUAGCAAUAAGCACACCUUCUUAUGCGGAAUGGAGCGGAGAGAAACAGAGAAGCGGAGGCUAUCAAGGUCAGGGCUAUUUCCAAAAACGGAACGGAACUCAGUGAGCGAGCGAUUGAGUUCUGAGUCAAGCACGUCAUAACCACGGUCUUUGAGCAUUUCCAAAACUGUCCUUCGAGAAAUGUAGUAUCUGUAGCUCUGUGCUGACCCUUCGUCCACAAAAUCCGUCAGGCAUCGAUCGCGGUCGAGAACGCCGUGGAAGGAAGCGCCGUUGCCGUUAAAGGUCUCUGUGGUUGCUGCCAUUGUCAAGUUCUGUUACUCUCUGUCGCUCUCCUCUAUCUCUCAGACUGACCGCCUCACGCUGCUUGUGUGUGUUUUUAACAGGAGGAGAGUGUGCUCUGUUUGAAGCGUAAAGGUUUUAUAGGCCCAUUUAAGUCAUUGGGAUGAUUUAUUUCUUGGAUUACAAUUUGGGCCCACUCGGUAGAUAUAUGAUCCAACCUGGCAUUGUUAUUAAAACCAGGCAAGGUUUGGUAUCUCAACUUAAAACCUUGUUUUGAUUAGGUUUUAAAAAAAUUAAAGGCUAAUUAAAAAUUUAGAUUGAUUUAUGUUAGUAUUUUUAAUAAAAAAAAAUUGAGUUAAUCCGUGAUAUGAGUGUUGUGAAGGAUUAAUUUCGAGUAACUAUGAUUUAAACCUUGGAUUGAAUUGAAUAAAUUUGAUGAUUUUUAAUAAUAUUUUUACUUGUAAAUAUAUUAAAAUAAUUAUUUUAUAUUUUUUAUAUUAAUAUAUUAAAAUUAUAAAAAAAAACUAAAAAAAAUAAUUCAUUUAUAUUUUUUUUCAAGAAAAAUACUCUUUUAAAACGUAAUCAUACGUAAUAAAAACUUUAUUUUCUGCUUUUAGGUAGUGUGGUUGCAGGUGCUUUUUAAAUAACUUUUUGUGCUAAAAUACAUGUCAACGAUGUUUUUUUAUUUUUUAAAAAUUAUUUUUAAUAUUAGUACAUUAAAACGAUCUAAAACAUAUAAAUCAUAUUAAAUUUUAAUAAAAAAAAAUUUUAAAUUUUUUAAAAAUACAGGUUGAACCGUAUUAACAAACGCUUCCUUUAAUAGUAGGGGACGAGAGUUUUUGGACGAAAGACAACUUCCUCAAAAGACUUAACUACAUUAGACGACAUGUCAUCUACGUCACGCAACAAAAAUCUGCCAUUUACUUGCAAGUUGCAACCACCACCAGCAUCAUUUUCACCACCAUUAAAAAUUUCAAGAAAUACAGAGAGCGACAGAGAGAGAGAGAGAGAGAGAGAGAGAGAGAGAGGUGGGUUUCAUGGAGGAGCAAGGCAAGCAAAAAAAGAAGAAUAAAAAUCCAUUAUCAUCAUCUUUUUGCCCCAUAAACAAUCUUGAUGAUGGUUGCCUUAUGCACAUCUUCAGCUUCUUAUCCCCAAUUCCAGGUCUGUAUCCUUUUCUUUUUCACCUUUAUUUUUAUGCCUCUCUCUGCUUUUACGUGUUGUGUGGACCUUAAUUGGAUAAAAAGUUGAAACUUUUUGCAUAUAAUUUGGUUUAGUCAGGUGUAUUUGGCCUUAUAGUGUAAAACCCUAUUCUCGGAAUUUGUUGAUAGAUCCAUGCAAGAUUGAGUUUUCAGCUAUUUUUUUCAUCUGGGGUCUUAAGAGAUUGGUGUAGUUUUGUGAAAAGUGUUGAUCUUUAGUUUAUUUUUGCCUAGAUUUUGUUAAGUUGACCAUUUUUUAUGCUUAGUCUUUGGAGUUUGUGGUCUUUUGGGAAUUGGAAAAGUAUGGAAUUUAAUUCAUUUGGUUGAUAAAUUGCAGAUUAGAGAGAGGGAAUCAGCAUGAAUUAUGCGAGCGAACCUCGUUAAUUUAUAUAACUUUUGCAUUGCUUAUUUAAGGUUCACCAACUGAAGAAGAUUCGAUUGGAAAUUGCAAGCAGAAUUUACUGGGGAAAAUGAGGGACUAACAAUGUUAAGUUAAAACUUUAUUUGCAGUGGCUGCAUAAAUUUCAAUGAUUAUUUUUGGUGACUGCAUUUGGCUCAGUGGUGAUACAGCUGAGGAGGGGGUGGGGUGUCAUGUGAAAUAACCUUUUAGUGCAAGAAUGUCCUAUAUUUGUAUUUUGGUGGCUAGCAUAUUUUUCUGUUAUUGUUUUAGUGUUUAUUCUGUUAGGCAAGUAAUUUUUAUUUUUUUUAUCUUAAGUGGAAAACAACAAUAUGAUAAUUUCAUGAUAAAUUUACACCCUUGACACAUGUGUGGCAUAAUUUUGAGCAAUCUGUGUCACAAAUUGCUAUUGAGUUUGCAGAUCGGUAUAACACCGCCCUCGUUUGCCACAGAUGGUGUUACUUGGCAUGUCAUCCUCGCUUAUGGCUCCGAGUAGAACAAUCUGCCAAAGAUUUAUCAGAGCCUGGAGUUUUCCCCAGCAUUGAGAAGGCUGUCUCUGCUGCUAGGUAUGUAUGGUGACAUUUUCUACAUGUAUUUUUCAGGAAGAACAGAGGGAAACAAAUCUUAUCAUGAUUAUUGUUCCUUUAGGCCCGGCGACACCAUUCUAAUUGCAGCAGGUGGGAGGCAUCUUGCCUCUAAUAUUCAAAUAAACAAACCUCUUUGCCUGGUAUGUGCUGAUGAUUUAUACCCGGUGAUGUUAUUCUGUCUUUAACUAUAGCCUAUUGUUAAUAAAUACCUCACGAGUGGACUCGUUGGUGGAAUCCUCUAGCUGUCAGUAUCUUCAACAUUGGUUCUUGACUAAGGAUAAAUCAAACAACUUGACCUCUAGGCUGGUCUGGAAUAACCAUGACCGAGGUUACACUACUUCAGGGGUCCUUUUUUUAAUUAGGUCCCUUUUCUUUCUAUUUAACAAACCUUAACCAUUUUUUUUUAUAUGAGUCCUUUUUUUUUGUAGUCAGUACACAGUGCACAAUACUCGUAGGAUAGGGAUAACAUUGAUUCAACCGUACUUGCCUGAUCCACAAUCCUUGUUGGGGUGUCUGUGCUUCAUGUUUUGCCCUUGGAAAAUGAUCAUUGUUGACCGACUGCUUAUAGUUUGCCCCAUUAAUUGAACCAUCUACAUGUAGGUGCUGUCAACAUAUGAUGGCUCUUAGUCAGGUACACAUCAGCAUCCAGUUUAUGUCAACUUAAUGUUCAAAAUUCAAUUGGCAUCACCUGGCAAAUUGUAAAAUGCAGAUUCACUGUAGGUUAUUUCUUUUUUCUCUUUCAAUGAUUCUAGAUUUUACCACAUGAAGAAGUCAAGCUUCAUGAAUCACAGUCAUGUAAAAAUAAGCGACAAUGUGUGAACCAGUAUUUUGACCAUGAUGUUGUUUUCAGCACUAGGGAUGGGGAACGUGCUUUGUUUUUUAUAAUAGUCACAUGCACUUUUUGAUAAAACCUAUUCAAACUACAAGUGGCUGGCAUCCUUCGGUUUAUUACUAGGGAAUUGAAUAGUGAACUUAUGUAGUAGAUAAUUUUUUCCAGAUUCUGCAUCUUCUAUCACAAUUUACUUUGUUCAGAUUGGUGGUGGUGAGCUUCCUGAUGAAACAACUCUCUUAUGUUCUCGAGGUUCAGACAGGUGUGUUGAGAUUUAUUUUUUCUCCACAUCAUAUUGUUGGAUGGUGAUCUGAUUAGAGUUCUCUCCACAUAAAUUAAGCGGAGCCUCAGUGCUUUUGGAUCUCAAUUUGCUAAUAUUGAAAUUAAAGGAUGUCUUUCAUGUCCUCAGAAAUUAUGCUUGUAUCAUUGAUAUGGCAUUCAUAUUGCUUAGUGAUGCACUAAUGCACAUCAGACCAUCGCUAAAACAUGCUCGACUUCUUGUGUAUUUCUUUGUAUGAUUAUAAUGAGAAAAUCGCUUCAAAUCAACUAAUAUGACUAGAGUAAGGUUGCAUGCCCACAAUAUUUUAUGCAACUGGGAUGCCUGAUCGUCUGGCUCCUUAUUAAUGUCUCUUUUGAUUUUAAUGUUAGCUACUUUCCUUGCCUGGCCUCUGUCAGAGGAUUUUGUUGUCCAACAGUUUAGAGUGGACUCCUCAAAAUGUUACCAUCCUAAGCCACAAAAUUUGGUAUAUCCUGUUCAAUUCUUUAUGCAGUGCACUGGAGUUCAUAACUACAUGCAAACUAGCAAACCUAACAGUGAAGGCAGAGCUUGGUUGCUGCUUGCUUCACAGAAGUGGAAGGCUAACCAUAGACAGUUGCAUACUUCAAUGUGAGGCAAGCCCUUUGGACUAUCUCUCGUGCCCCAUCAUCUGUACAGCAGGGGGGAAUGAGGUGGUGUCUUCCGCGGUGAAAACUAAAGGUAAUAGAAUUUCCGUUUCCCAAACCAGGAUUGAAGGAGGUGCCAAAGCUGUCCUGACAAGCGGGGACCUGACAUUGCAGCAAGUUCGAGUCAUUUAUGCUCGAACUUUUGUUUAUUUCUGGUUUGAUGUAGAUUCUCAGUGAUGAUUGAUUGUUCAUCCCGAUCUUGUCUGUGCCAUAAUGGAACUAGUUACAUUAUUGUUUAUCACUGCUGUAUUGAUUCCCAAUUUAGAUAAUUUAAUGUAUUAAGACGCGUUCUAGCUUUCUUAGCAUAAUUGCCAGUACAGUCCACUUGCCCUCCUGUGAUUUCACUUCAUAUGAAAAAAAACUCCAGUUCUUUUCUAUAAUUUGACAAGUUUAUUUCUUCCUUGCUUACCAUAAUUGUCUUUAUCUCCUGCAUUCCAAUUCUGAUAAUGAAUGCUUUUGCUCUGAAAACCCACAGUUGAUUUCUUUAAAAGCUCCACUGGACACAAGCUUGUGCAAUGAGAAAAGUCACAGUACAUACAAUCUACAAACGAGUAUUCAGACGCCACAUCAGUCCAAAAAAUAAUGCCACCAACACCAAGGCGUUGCCAAAGCAAGAUUCAACAUGAUAAGUUGCCAGUUGCCGAUGCAACUGAUAAUAGUCAUUGAAAUGGACUCAACGACUGUAGAAAAGAACCCCGGGACCAUUUCUUUUGUUUGAUGGUAAGUUACAUCGAGCCAAGAGAAAUACAUUAAGUUCCAUGGAUGAUCCCAAACCCAAGGAACGUCUUUUGAUAGUAGAAACAUUGCUUAUGGAAACAAAAGUGCAGGAUGCUUCCCAGAUAGAAGCACACAACUCAAGAGCUACACCCAUCUAACUAAGAGAGCAAUUUCAACAAUGAUGCAGCUAAAGCACCACACGGCAUCUCAACUACAGGCUUCGAAAUCUUCUAUUGCACCAUCUUAGGUGCAUUAGACAGCUCACAACCAACCAUAACCUGUCUUUAUUUGUUAAGUUGCAUUUGAUUAGCAUUCGAGGACAGAAAAGACAAACACGUAUUUGGUUAUAAGGAUGAAAUAGUAUCUCGGGGAUAGUUUUAGUGUGAGUUCCUGUGAGAAGAAGACAUCGAAAUUGUCUCAGCUUUUCAACAACUAAAAAACUAAAAAAUAAUCCAUGGCAAAGUGCCUAAAAUCUAAAAAAAUUCGGUCUAAUAGAGAAAACUAAUAACAAAAAAAAAAAAAAAAACCCUAACAAAUAGCCUCCACAGAAAGGGUCUUGAUAACAUCAUCACCACAGGUAGUCGAGCUAAAUGUAUCUUCGGAAACAUCAAUGGUGCACGACUCCUGGCCAACACAUGCCUGUGAAGAAGAACAAAAAUGAAAAAUUAACAGGUUGCAAAGGCCAAAGAAUAAUAAAAUAAAAUAAAAACAAAAAAUAAACACUUACCUUUUCGACAACAGAUAAUGCAUCCUUUGAUCCCUCACAAAAUCCCUUCACAAAAGAUCCACAAGCCCCUUGUGGAUUGCCGAAGCUAGCAAAUUUAACAGCAGAAAUCGAUCUUCCUUGGCAUGAGAGCUCGAUCUUCCUGUUCUCCUCAGCACUGAUGCAUGCUGAUCCAAUAGCAAUAGUUUGGAAAUUAACCGAUGAAGGGUUUCCACCAAACUCUUCAAACAAGACCAAUGUGUUAUCGCCAGUGUCAUUAAGGAAUGAUCUUGGGACAUGAUACCUGACAAAGACAUCAACUGGAACGUUAAAGCAACAACAAAAUAAUCCUCAGAAAAUAGUUCUUCGAAGGGCAAAAUGAUUACCAUCUUUGAGUUGGAUGGCCACAGUUAGAGAGACACUUGCUGCUGUCGUAUGAACCUCGAUAAUCACAUGGUUCAAGAUUGCAAUCACCCUCAGCUAUGAAACUCGGCCAAUAUCGACCAAUGCUGUUACCAUUAACCCAAGCUAGACCUUUUCCCAUGCCAAGUAAAUCUACCACAACAGGAUCUGUUCCCAAAGGAGCUUUGAACACAGUCUACAAAAAUUAAAAAUAAUUUAUAAUAUGUCACCACAAAUUCCGUGUUUUAAACUAUGGUUCAAUCGCAAUUUCAAACAUGAUAUAUUACGCAAAUAAACAUACAUGAUGUAUAAUACAUUAAGGUUUUGAAACGCAACAGAAACAAUAACUUGCACAUAUAAUGCAUUAAAAUUAAUUAAUUUAAUUUACCUUGUACCAAGUUAAGGUCCUGUUUACAGGGAAGCUAUCUUCUUGCCACUUAAGAGAUUGACUGCUGUAGAGUUCUUGAUUCAAACCUUCCAAUCCAAUCUUGUAUGACCAUUUUUGUGAUGAUAAAUCCUUGGCAACUGUCUCAUCAUCACCAUGGUAGCCAAUCAGCUCGACUGGACCAGUAAUCCCAGAUGGUACCAGAUCAAAAUUGGCUCCAUAGUUCUUCAAAUUUAUUGAAAAAAAAACACCAAUUAAGCACUAAUUAACAAUACUCAUUGAAAGAUUAUUAAAAAUUAGGAUUGAUUUUUACCGUGAAUCCAACUGUAGCGCUGAGCAGACUAAUUGUGUUUUUCUUAUGAUUCAAUUUCACGUUUUGCUCAAAAACAAAACUCUCACCGCCAUUCUUAGACCAUUGAGAACCUAUCACCAAAAGAUAAAUAAAUUUAUCCACAUUAUAAUUAGAAUUUAAAAUAAAUAAAAACAAGAAUAUAUAAGACUUAAUAACCAAGAUUUUCUUUUUCUCACCAAUAAGUUCUCCAUUAACAAAGGCAUGAAGAAUUUGGCCGCUACUUUUAACUCGGAGUGUCAUAUUAUAACUCCAGACUGGAUCAUCUUUUUUAAGAUUUAUACUGUUAAAUAAAAAAAAAUUAACCAAAUAAACCUCCAAUAAUAUAAUAAAUAAUGUAUUGAAACAAAAAAAUAAUACAUAAACAUCGAAAAAUGACCUUGUCAUGUAGAAUAAAUAAUCACUCAAAUCAUUCGCUGCCUCUUUUUGGUCAAGAAUCUGAUUAAUGGUGACAUCUCCCUUUCCAAGAAGUAUAGUCUUAUCGUCCAUUUCAGGUCUCCAUGACCAUUUAAGAGAAAUGGGCUCAUCUUCGGCGACGUUUGCUUUCUUGACCAUCACUGAUGUUUGAGUAGAUACCUAGUAAUAUAUAUAUAUAAGAUUUUAAUAAAAAUAUUGUAAUAAACUAUAAAUUUGAUAUAAAAAUAUAAUAAUAAUAAUAAUAAUAAUAAUAAUAAUAAUAAUAAUAAUAGCGAUAAAUGUUUGAGCUGAUAACUAAUAAUAUUGAUAUACAACUUAUAUAGUUUUGAUAAAUAAAUUAUAAAAUUUUGAUAAAAAUAUUAAAAUAAACUAUAAAUUAUAAUUACCUUGGCUGUAUUGUAAGACACAUUUUGACAAUCUGGAAGUAUACUAACAGACCAUGCUGGUACUGUAUAAUUUAUGCCUUGGAAAUUGAUUGUUUUAUCAGUCCCUUGGUCUACAUUGGCCAAAAAACAGCUUGAUCCACCUUCAUUUGAAUAUAUAGUGCCCUAAAAAAAUAAAUAAAGAUGCAAUAUUAAAGCAAAAUCAAGUAUUAAAUAAUUAACAAAAAUACAAAUAAUAUUAAAAAAAUAAGUAUUAAAUAAUUAACAAAAAAAAAUUACCCAAACAGAAUCAUCACCCAAAUCGACAGAGGAAACGUUCCCUGUUGUGAGAAUAUCCUCCAUGGAAUGCAAUAGGUCAUGAAGUUGCUUCAAAUGCCCCCAUUUUGGUUGGUUCAGGUUUCCUGUUAAGAAUUAAAUUAAAAAAAAAAAAAAAACAUAUAAGACUAUGAUCUCAAACUAUGUAGUAAAAUCAAUAAAUUAAUUAUUAAAUAACUUGUUACCAUAUUCAUCCAGUGGUGCGUCAUAAUCAUAGGAUGUAGUAAUGUAUGGACCACCGGCUGAUCGACCAAAAUUAGUUCCACCAUGGUACUAAAUAAAAUUAAUGUUAUAAAAAAAUAAGUUAAUUAUGAAACUAUAUAGUUAUUAUUAAAUAAAAUUGUGAAAAUAAAAGAUUUAAAGCAUAAACUAACCAUAUAGUAGUUUUGAAAAGUCCCUCCCAACUGAUAAAAUCUUGCUACAGCAAAAGCAAGAUCCUCAGCAGUCCUGUGUGGAUCUUUACCACCCCAAUUCUUAUACCUUCAAAAAAUAAUUUUAAAAAUUACAAUUAAUUAUAAUAUAUUAAUUUAUAUGGAGUUUUAAUUAAUAUUAUGUAAAUAAUAUAUAAAUAAAAACAUAUGAAUUACCAGCCAGUCCAAUUCUCAGUCCACAUUUUAGGAAUAUUUGAUCUCCUAGGUUGGUAUUGAUCACAAUACCAACCAUUGCAUGUACUGAUCUGUUCGCAAUAAUUACAAAAAUUAAUCACAAAAUAAAAUUAUGAUAUUAAUCUUUAUAGUAAAAUUAAAAUCACUAAUAUUAAUAUAAAAAAAAUCAUGAUUACAGAAACCAGUUCUGACCUGCUAACAAUAAUUUUAAAAAAAUCAAUCACAAACUAAGAUUAAAAUAUUAUUUUUUAUAGUAAAAUUAAAACUAAUAAUAUUAAUAAUUAAAAUACUACAUUUUUAUAAGAUUAAUGCAAAAAUCAAUCACAGAUACCUUUAUGUAGUAAAAUUAAAAUUACUAAGACUAGUCAAAAAAAGAAAAUCAUUAUUAAAAAAAUCAAUCACAAACUAAUAUAUAUUACUACAUUUUUAUAGGAUUAAUCAAAAAGAUAAAAUCAUGAAAAAAUAAUAAUAAUAAACUAUACCAUUGGUUCUGGAGCAUCAUCCUGCUGGCACAUGAGCCAUGGAACUCCAAUGUCAAGAGAUUGAGCCAUGUUUGCGCACCAAUUCAUGUAUGCCUUCCCUUCUUCUCCAUAAGAUGACAUGACAUUGCCAUAUUCGUUCUCAAUCUAUACCCAUUUUUAUUUUAAUUUGUUAGUAUGGAAAAUAAUUAAUAUUUUGACAAAAACAUGUAGCAAAAAUUCAAAAUAAUAAUAAUAAUAAUAAUAAUAAUAAUAAUAAUAAUAAUAAUAAUAGAGUUAUAAUAAAAAUAAAAACUUUUAAAAUAUAUUUAUAAUAUACCUGAGCAAGAAUAACAGGACCUCCUUGGGAUGCAAAAAGGUUUUCUCGUUUCACCAUAUCGACGAUCAAUGUAGUGAAGUUUUGCAUCUCAUUCUGCAGUGAAAAAAAAACUGAAUUAAUUUAAAUAAAUUAAGUAAUUAAACAGUAAAUAAUAACAAAUUGAAUUAAUAUGAUGAAAAGAAUGGUGUAAAAUUAAUUAAAUAUAUAUUUUUUUUACCUUGAAAACAUCAUUAUCAGUUCUCAUCUGAAUACCAGGCAUAUUAUGCAACCACACAGGAAAGCCACUGCUCAAUGAAAAAUACAUUAGAAUUAAAAGAAAAAUAAAAACAUGAAAAUAAAAACAAAGAAAAAACCAUCGUGAUCUCAUACCCAUAAUUCCAUUCAGCACAAACGUACGGUCCAAUACGAAGAACAGCGUAAAGUCCUUCAUCUUGGAUUGCUUUAAGAAACCUUACAAGGUCUAGAUUGCCACUAAAAUCAUAUUGCCGACGAGCAGGUUCAUGAGCAUUCCAGAAAACAUAAGUUUCAAUGGCAUCUAGCCCACCUUCCCUUGAUUUCUUCAUCAAAUCCGGCCACAUCUAUAUAUACAUAUAAAUCAAACUAUAAACAUAAGCUAAAUGUUUAUCAGAAUCAGAGAAUUAUUAACAUGUUGAAAAACUAUCAAGAUCAGAAUAUAAAAUAUUGCCUGUGUAGUGCUUCUAGGGUAAUGGAUUGAUCCAGACACAAGAACUCUGUGCUUGCCAUCAAUAAUGAUGGCCCUAUUAUCAUAAGUCACCUGAGUCGCAGUUGCCCACAGGCGGCCAGACGUGCAAAAACAAACGAUGAAGAGAGCAAGAAUCCCUGAAGAAGACAUGUUUAUCGAUCAAGCAAGAGAAUGGUGAGUGAAUAUUGUCACCUGUUCUUAUACAUAUAGAAGUAUAGAGCGAGUUAGAGAUACACACUCGAUCUCAAAAGGAUGUUGUAUCUUAUCCUUAUCCUUUUAAAAUCAGAUUGUUUAUUUUUAUAUCUUUCUUUCUUUCAUCCUAACUAGAAAUUAAAAUACAAUUAACCAUAUAUCAAGAAAUUAAAAUAAUAUUAACUAAUUCAUGCAUGAUAUAUAAAUUUACACCAUGUAACUCCCUGUUGUAUAGUUUUGAUCGGUCUGUGUCGCGAAUUGCUCCUGCUAUUGAGUUCACUUAUAGUCCUGGCGGGUCUGUUACGGUAAAGACGUCUUCUGGCGGGUCUGUUACGGUAAAGACGUUCUGGCGGGUCUGUUGGGGUAAAGACCUCUUCUGGCGGGUCUGUUGGGGAAAAGACUUCUUGAACGUUUGACUUCUUGAAGUAUAAUAUUUUGCUCUUCUCUACAUAAAGCUUGUUUUUGCCUUGCUCCCAGAGAUGGAACGAUAUUUUUAAGUUUGACUGGUUAGCUUCAAAGUGCAUAUUAUUUUUUGGUAAAUUUUUUUAAGUUUAUUUUAACAAGUUAUCACAAAGUUUAAUUGAUAUUUUUUUAUUGAAUUCUAAAUUCUUGAAUUUAGAGUUCUUACGUGAGAAUUGGAGGUUUUGUGAAAUUGUUAUGGGGUAAUGUUGUUAGGGUGAAAUAGCAUGAAAUAGCUUAAAAUAAUGAGUGAUUAGAGAAAAAGACUUGGUAAUCUUGCAUGUUAUAGGGUGAGUAGUUGUAAAAAAAAUUGAGUAAAUGGUUUUAAACUUGUAGAAAAUAUAUGUUUUGGUGAGAAUUGAUGUGGAUAUGAUGAUCUAAAAUGAAAUUAAUGAUCAUAUCUAGUAUUGGUAGAAUUAUAACAGCAUUUUGGCUGAGGAUUUUGUAAGAUAAAUAUGUAAGAUUGUGUUUUGAUUUAUGAAAGGGUGUAAUUAAUGUUGAUAAGAUGAUUUGUGAUAGAAAUUGUAAUGAAUAAGGAAAAUUAAGACCUUAAGGUCGGUCAAAUGAAGAAAUUUAGGAAGUUUGGAUAAUUCAUAUAUAAUUAUAUGAAAUUAUAACUAAUGAUGUUAAUUUGUUCAUUGACAUCGGCAUGAACAUGAAAGAAACAAAUGGAAUUGGACUUGAUUAGUUGUUCCUGAAAUAUAGAAAGGUUAAUGAAGUCAAUGAGUUUAUUAGCAUCACGUGUACUAGAAAACUUGAUUAACUAUUCAAUGGAAUGGAAGUUAAUGAUACCAAAUGUAUUCGGUAUCAGUAUGCCUUUGAUUAGUCACACUCAAGGUAAUGGCUAAUGAUAUCAAUUUGGAAUUGAUUUCAGCAUCGAAUUAGUUAACCCUGGUUAUGGAUGAUGAAUGAUAAUAUGAUGUUAGAUGUUGAAAAUUGAAAUAAAAAAUAAAUAAAUGAUAAGUAAAUGGGAUAAACAGAUUUUACUUAUUAGCAUGAGAUAAAAAAAAAAUUGAAGAGAGAAUUCAUCAUCUUAGGUGAAUUAAGAGAAAUAUUUCAUUUAUUCUUAAAUUGUAACAAAUAUGAUAUGACAUAAUAAACACACUCCAUGCUAUAAUGUUUAAAUCAAAACAUUAGUGAUGAAUGAAUAAUAAUUACACUAAGAAACUAGUCACUGAAAGGUUAAGUCAAAUCACUUAUGACUUUUCUAAUAUUUGAAGGUUCAUAACAAGUUGCUAGAUAUUGUAUUUGAUCUUCAAAUAUAAAUCAAUCAAUUAUUGAAUUUUGUUUAAUUUAUUUAGAAUUGUGAUUUAUAUUUGAACCAACUUGUUAAGGAGCCUAAUAGGUCACACACAUAAGAUGCAUUGAUUAGAAAUUAAAAAAAAUGAUUAAUCAAAUGUGACUUGAUUGUAAAUAAGUUUUAAAAAUUAAGGAUUAAAGUAUUAUUUAUACAGAGAAUUACAAUUCUCGACCUAGAAAAAUCAAGUAGGGUUUGAUUAAAUAAUUUUUUAAAAUUAUCCUAAAAUAUAUGAGAUAUUAUCAAAUGAGCAAAUUGAUAUAAUAUCAUUUAUAGGGUUUUCACGUUUCCUUAUAAAUUAAUAGAAUAUUAUAUCUUGUAUUUUAUGUAUAUAAACUAUAUAAAUUACAAAACACCUAUAUAUAUAUAUAUAUAUAUAUAUAUAUAUAUAUAUAUAUAUAUAUAUAAAAGUUAGUAUUGAAAGGAAUAGUAAUCCUUUUUCUAAAAGAAUUUAGAAGAUUUUUCAUUAAUAAUUCGUGUGAAUUAUCAUAAAAACUGAACACUAUAUUUUGUGAUAUGCUAAAGUAAUUUAUGAUAGCCAUUGAAGCUGGCAUUUAAUGGAUAGUAGAGAUGGAAACCAGUCAACAAUCAAGAAUCAAGCGAUGAAUACUUCAUGCCCAUUUCUUUAUUCACAUAACAUUCACAUAAACCUACUCCUUGCAGAUUAUUAUCAUAUAUAUACACAGUAGCACCAAGCCAAAAUAUAUUUAACCUAUUUCUCCCCAAUAAACACAGUAGAGAUGUUGCCCACAACACUGAAAUCCUAGCAGUUCCUUACCCUUAACCCGCUCUAGCAACAACAUCCCUUAUCCCAGAGAACUUCCCGGCACUAAUUUGGAGUAAUUAAUAAGCCUGCCGUGCUCCAUAUCUAUUGACAGCAUAGAUGUUGCGUACAAGAACAGAAGACAGCUUGAAGGUUGGGGGAUUAGGGAGAAGAUUUCAAAAUAUUAGUGAAAGAGGCUGCAGCUAGCUAGAAAAUGAAGAGGGUCCGGCCAACGUCAUGUUAUGAUUUCAUUUCUUAACAAGUUUCAAGAUAUGUGCUGUGCGUGUAUUCUCUUUUGCCAGAAAGUUUAUUUCUAAUGGCAGAUAAAUGUUAAAAACAAUAAAAAGAAUAUAUAAUUGGGGGGAAAAAUGAGACUGGAGAUAAAAAUCUAAAUAAUACCACUGAGAAAACGAAAAACCCUUGUUCAAUAGAGAGAACUAGAAAUAAAAAACCCUAACAAAACGAAAAAAAUCCACAUACGUACCAAUGCAAAAACUAAGAACAUUGUUCAAUAAAGAACACUAAUGACCAAAAAAAAAAAAAAACCCUAACAAAUAGCCUCCACAGCAAGGGUCUUAAUGACAUCGUCACCACAGGUAGUCGAGCCAAAUGUAUCUUCAGAAACAUCAAUGGUGCAAGACUCCUGGCCAACACAUGCCUGUAAGAAAUAAAAAAGAUAGAUUAAUAUUCGAUUAUUUGUUCGAACACUCGGUUGUAACAAUCAACAAAACAAGCAAAACCUAGAGGUAAGAUCGAUUUAAUUACCUUUUGGACAAUAGAUAAGGCAUCAUUCGAGGCUUCACAAGUGCCCUUCGAAAAAGAUCCGCAUGUCCCUAGUGGAUUGCCGAAGCUGGCGAAUUUAAUUGCAGAAAUUGGCCUUCCUUGGCAUGAGAGCUCGAUUUUCUUCUUCUCCUCAGCAUUGACGCAUGCUGAUCCGAUUGCAGUAGUUUGGAAAUUAACCGAAGAAGGGUCUCCACCAAAUUCCUCGAACAAGACCAAAGUGUUAUCACCUUCGUUGUUAAGGAAGGAUCUAGGAACAUGAUACCUGUAGAGAAUGAAUAGAACAAGACAUCAGAUCAUAGUCACAACAAAAAAUCAUAUAAAAAACAGUUCUUAAAAAAAACUAUUACCAUCUUUGAGUUGGUUUGCCACAAUUGGUUACACAUUUGUUGUUAUCGUAGGAACCUCGAUAAUCGCAUGGAUCAAGACUGCAUCCAUCCUCAGCAAUGAAACUCGGCCAGUAUCGACCAAUGCUGUUACCAUUAACCCAAGCUAGACCUUUUCCCAGGCCAAGUAAAUCCACCACAACAGGAUCUGUUCCCAGAGGAGCUUUGAAGGUAGCCUACAAAAAUAAAAAUAAAAAACAUAUAUAUAUAUAUGAGCAUGCAUGAAGCUACAUGUAAUUAAUAGAUCAUUAGGGUUAAGAUUUACCUUAUACCACGUAAACAUCUUGUUCGUGGGGUAAUUAUCUUGUUGCCAUUUCGAAGAAUCAGAGCUAUAAAGGUUUUGACGCAAGCCUUCCAAUCCAACCUUAUAGGACCAUUUGUGUGAAGAUAAAUCUUUAAUUAUUAUUUCAUCGUCAUGGUAUCCAACAAGCUCCACAGGGCCACGAACACCAGCUUGUGUCAAGUCAAAAUUAGCACCAUAGUUCUACAGAAUAAUUAAAAAAAAACGUUAAUUAGAUGACUAAAUAAUCAAGAAUUUCACUUCAAUAAAUGAUUAUAUAGAUUGUUAAGAUUAAUUACCGCAAAUCCAACCGUAGCACUGAGCAAAGUAAUGGUGUUUUUCCCCUUGUUUAAUUUUAUUUGUUGCUCGAAAACAUAAUCGAAAACUCCAUACUUAGCCCAUUGAGAACCUAAUAAUAAAAAACAACAAUGUUAGCAUCCUAAUUAAUAUAUAAAAUAUAUAAUAAACCCUUUUAAAUAAGAAGAAUUUGGUUGUUACCUAUAAAUUCCCCAUUAACAAAUACAUGAAGUACUUGACCACUGCCUGUAAUCCGAAGAGUCAUAUUGUCCCCCCAGAUGGGAUCAUCUUCCUUAAGACUCACACUGUAAAUUAAAAAUAAUUAAUUAGGUAAUUAAUUAGAUAUUAAUUAACGAAUAAUAUUAAAAUAAGAACAGAAAGUAUACCUUGUCAUGUAGAAGAGAUAAUCACUCAGAUCAUUUGCCGCAUCUUUCUGGUCAAGAAUCUGAUUAACCGAGACCUCUCCUUUUCCAAAAAGAAUCGAUUUAUCGUUCGUCUCGGGCCUCCAUGACCAUGUAAGAGCAGCGGGCUCAUCCUCAGCAACAUUUUUUUUCUUCACCAUCACAGAUGUUUGAGCUGAAACCUAACAAUAUUAAUUAUAAACAAUUGUUAAAUAAAACUUGAAAAAGAAUAUUUAACAAACUACAGAUUUAUAUAAAUUAAUCCCAUUUACCUUAGCCGUAUUGUACACCACAUCUUGACAAUCAGGCAGUAUACUAACAGACCAUGCUGGCACUUCAUAGUCUAAGCCUUGAAAAUUGAUUGUUGUGUCGUUUCUAGAGUCUGUAUUGGUCAAAAAGCAGCUCGAUCCCUUCUCAGUUGAAUAAAUAGUGCCCUGAUAAAUAAAUAAAUAAAUAUACAAUAAUGUUAACAUAAUAUAUAUUAAGCUUAAAUGUUUCUAAUUAAUUAAAUCCUUGAUAAUAAAGAAAUUAUAAUACAAACCGAGACAGAAUUGCCAAAGUCAACUGAGGAGAUGUUCCCUCGUGUAAGAGUAUCUUCCAUGGAGUGCAACACAUCAUGAAGCUCCUUCAAAUGCCCCCAUUUUGGUUGAUUCAAAUUCCCUAUUAAAAUCAUAUAAUAUAUGAUCAUGAUAAUUAUAAUAAAACAAAUAAUAAUUUAUUAUCAUUAAAUAGUUUAUUACCAUAUUCAUCUAGCGGUGCAUCAUAAUCAUAAGAUGUAGUGAUAUAUGGACCGCCGGCUGUUCUACCGAAAUUGGUUCCACCAUGAUACUAAGAUAUACAAUAAAAUAUGUUAGCAAAUUAAUUAUUAUUGUGAUUAAAAUAACGAAAUUGUUAGAUUUAAACCAACCAUAUAAUAGUUUUGAAAAGUGCCUCCAAGUUGGUAAAAUCUUGCUACAGAAAAAGCAAGAUCCUCAGCAGUUCUGUGUGGAUCUUUACCACCCCAGCUCUUAAACCUAAAGAAAUCAAUUUUAAGAAUUAAAUAAAAUAAAAUUUAAUUACUAUUGGGUUUAUAUGUCAAACAAUAAAUUAAAACAAAGUUUAAAUAUUAAAAAUAAAUAAAUAAAAACAUAUGAGUUACCAGCCGGUCCAAUUCUCAGUCCACAUUUUAGGACUAGUUGGCCUAUUAGGAGUGAAUUGGUCACAGUACCAGCCAUUGCAUGUGUUGAUCUGGUAACAAAAAUCAAUCACAGGAAUUAAAUAAAAUAAAAAAAUAAUUAAUAAAUUUAAGAAGAAAAAAAAAAAGAGUACCAUCGGUUCUGGAGCAUCGGACUGCUGGCACAUGAGCCAUGGAACUCCAAUGUGAAGUGACUGAGCCAUGUUUGCACACCAUUCAAUAUACGCCUUCCCUUCAUCUCCAUAAGACGACAUGACGUUGCCAUAUUCGUUCUCAAUCUGGAAACAAUUUAAUUUGUCAAUAAAGAAGAAGAAUAAUUAAUGAGUUUAUUUAGGAUUUAAAAUAGAAAAUAUAUAUUAAAUAAAUAAAAAAAUGUACCUGGGCAAGAAUAACAGGACCUCCUUGUGAUGCAAAAAGAUUCUCUUGCUUCACCAUAUUAACUAUCAAUGUAGUGAAAUUCCUCAUCUCAUUCUGAAGAUAAAAACGAAUUAAAUUAAUUAUAAUAAAUGAUUAGUUGUAGUAAAUACUAUAAUUAAGACUUAAAUCACUAUUUUCUUACCAUGAAAACAUCAUUAGCAGUUCGCAUCUGAACACCAGGCAUGUUAUGCAACCAUACAGGGAACCCACUGAGCAAUAAAAAUUAAAAGAAUUAUAAAAAAAUAAAACAGGAAUUCAAUUAAAUAAAAAAAACAAAAAAAACUACUACACACCCAUAAUUCCAUUCAGCACAAACAUACGGUCCAAUACGAAGAACAGCAUAGAGCCCUUCAUCUUGGAUUGUCUUAAGAAACCUUAUAAGGUCCAGGUUGCCACUGAAAUCAUAUUCCCGACGAGCAGGUUCAUGAGAAUCCCAGAAAACAUAGGUUUCAAUGGCGUCCAGUCCACCUUCCCUGGAUUUCUUAACCAAAUCCGGCCACAUCUAUAAAAUUCAAAUAUAAAUUAUUAAGUUGAACAUAUAUAUAUAUACACAUACACUGGGAUUAAUAAAAAAAUAUAAAUAAAUAUACCUGGGCAGUGCUCCUGGGAUAAUGGAUUGAACCAGACACCAGAAGCCUAUGUUUGCCAUCGAUGAUGAUUGCUCUGCCAUCGUAGGUAACCUUACUAGCAGUAGCCCAAGGAGCGAGCGUGAAAAAGAAAAGGGUGGCGAGCAAUACCUUUGAAGGAUGCAUUUUUUUUUUUUACCGGUAAGCAAAAGCAGAGUGAAAAAUAAUGUAUUUUAUGCUUGAAUUUAUAGGAGCAUGUAUCUGUUAGUUGAGAUUUACUCAAUCUAAAAUUCAUCAUCGAUCUUAUAUGUUUUUAAACAGAUAUAUUUUAUCAUAAAAUCUGAUCUCCUUAUGUGUCUUUUAUUCUGUAGAUAUUUUAUUUUAUUUUAAAAUCCAAUCACAAUUAAUUAUCUUUUAUUUUAUGUAUUUGAAUUCUGUUUCAGUUUGUGUUUAAGUUUAAUUCUAAAAUUAAUUAAGUUUAAGUUUAACUCUUCUAGCUUAGGUGGAAGUAAACUAUAUAUAUAUAUAAGUAAAUAACAUAUGAUUUCAAAUAAUAGAAUGUUUUCCUUUUAUUCUAUGUAUAUUUCUUAUCCAAAAUAUUAUUACAUUAAUUUAUCUUUUAUUCACAGCAAUUAUCUCUUUUGGUCAAAGAUUUAGUCUCGUUUUUUAAAAAUAUUUGAAUCCACGUUAACUAUUCUCACUCCAUGCAAACAAACUCUAUCCUCUUAUCCAUUUAAUAAAAAUAAAAUAAAAUCCACAUAAUUAAAAAAAAAUGGAAUAUUUUGCUUUUAUAUUUGGUUUCUUUUUCAUUCCUCAUUUCCUCCUUCCUUUAAUUUUCUUAUUUCGUAAUCGUGAUUGAGAUUUUUAAGAAAAUAAUUUUCUUGUUUUAUUAUUAAAUAUAAAAUCGAAUUAUGAUUUUAGAUGCUAGUUUUCUAAUCAAAUUGGGCCGCUCAAGAAUUGCGAAAAAACCCGCACCUCCUCGGCUUAUUUUCAAGAAACUAUAGAAUCCUGGAGCUUAGCUAAUCAAAACAGCACCACCGCCACCACCGGCCUUUCCGGGGGAGGUUUUUGGUGGGACAAGGAACUGCUCUUAGAGCUUGGGUUGGGUUUUGUAAAGAAAGUAGGAUUAGAACUCAUAUUUGCCAGUAAGACUUGUAAUAUCACAAGCCCAUAAGGAUGUCAUUCACCACAAUGCUUCAAGAGUGAUGGCUCAAUUGAAAAUUAUUUGGUGUUCAUAGAAUUAUUUAAUAUUUCUUUAUUACUUUACAUAGAUGAGAGCUGGUUUGUUAUAAGUUCCAUUUAAUUAUAUAAAAAAAAAAAACUCUCAAAAUCAUUAUUUUUUAUUCAUUCCAGAAGAAUCAAUUUAUCUAAAGGCUAACAUAUAUAUAUAUAUAUAUAUAUAUAAGAGAAAACCCUAAUAAUAUUGAAUAAAAAAAUAAACUGAUAAGUGAUAACAGAAUUAGUAUAACAGCCAUAAUAUGCAGCAUGACAAGAAACCACAAGCCACCAUGUAGAAUAUCACAUGUCAACUGGGAUUUUAAUGCGAGACAGAACAGGGCAGGCAUUAGACCACCAUAAGAAUCGACAAGGACGAUUGCAGUAAGCAGAAAUGGUGCCCGGACACCAGAUAAUGGCAGCAGUUGAAAUGAUGCCAAAAACCCUAGGAUGCCGCAGGAGUCAGCAACUCCCCAUAUGACACCGGAGGAUAAAUAAAAAAAACAGCAGUCCUAUAACAUCAGGAAGCCAGAGAAAAGGACGUCCGUAUGACAUCGGGAGCCCAGAAGCAGCACGUAACACCAAAAGACAAGAAGGUAGCAGCUAGCCAUAAAACAUCAGUACCAAAUCACCAUUGAAGGGCCAUUGCAGCUCCUUACUGAUACAACAGAUUCUCCUACAGGCUGGAAGAACCGGAGGGAGGUGGUGGGGAUCUAUAGGGAGGAAGCAAGAAGAGAGAGGGGAGGGAGAAGAGAAGACGGUGCUGAAAAGAGAGUUAUUUACCACCUGAUGGGCCACUCUGACACUGCUCUCACUACCAUUCUCUUAAUAGACUCUAUUCAGCUAAAAUUAGUUAUUCUGCUGCUAUAUAAAUACUCAAUCAACAGAUUUAACAGAAAAUAAAAACCAGGCAAGCAAAGGGAUGAGACGAAGGGUUCGGAACCAAAUCAAGUGAAGAUGCUGCUGAAAGAUUUAAAGCAGUGGGGACUACAGCAACAGAACUGGUCCCUAGAUCUUCAAAACGAUGCGUGUAACAAGCAAUAAGCAAAAAAGCAGACACCUUGAAAUGCAAGCUACACAUAAGCUAUGUUCACUGUCUUUCUAAGACAAGCCAUGAAAGAGUAAUCAAGCAAGUAAUCUUUGCAAAGUGUAAGCUACAAACAAGUAAUUGGUGCCGGUUUGGGAAUCACCAACCUUUGGCUAUUUUCUUACCUUCCAUGGCUUUUCGUUCAAAAGCAGAAUUCCAAAACUUUUGGUAAUACUUACAAGCUAAUAUCACAGCCCUUCCACGCAUGAUUUUACAGUUUGAAUUUGUAGCUUUCGAGAAGACACGGCCACAGCUAAAAGCCAUAGCUUUCCCAAACGGACCCUAAGAAUCACAUCAUUUUACCCCCAACAUUAACAGAAAUUUUAUUCCUUUCAUGUAAAUUAAACAUCAUAAACAUUACAAAUUUCCAUCCCUAAUGGUGCAUUUUCACCUACAAAACACACAAACCUAAUAAGACCUAAAACUCUAUAAAUUAACACUAAUCAACAACAACUCUUAGUCCACUUAAUUAUCACUAUCACUAUUGUUAACAUUAUUGCUAGCAGUAAUAUUGUUACCGGUAUGGUGGUGGUGGUGGUGGUGGUGGUGAUUGCCGCUAGCACUCCCUCCCUUUCUCCCAUUCUUCAACUGCGAAAUCUCCAUCUGUGUCUGCAUAAAAAACUGCAUCCUUUGCAACUCCAACUCUUUCGCGAACUUCAUCCUCGUCUUCUCCAUCUCCACCACUUGCUGCAACUUGGCAGUCUCAGCUUGCUCAUAAGCUUCCCCAAACUUCAACAUUGCUUGCGUCAACAUCCUAAUCGAAUUCCCCCACCCUCCUUUCUUUUCUUUCCCUCCUCCUCCUCCUUUCCCACCCACUUCCCUCUCCACCACCACUCUUCUCUUCUUCUGCGGCGGAAAACUACCAUCCUCUUCCUCCUCCUCUUCCUCCUCCUCCUCCUCCUCCUCCUCUUCAUCCUCGUCGUCGUCGUCGUCGUCCUCAUCCUUACCCCAUUUCCGGAUCCGAGCCUUCAUAUUCUGAUUCCUCCUGAAAUGAUACUGGUUAGUCCCGCCCCUCCUACUACUACUCCGAACCCUAACAGGAAUCGCAACUGGAAAUUUACUACCACUAGCAACAGCAGGAACCCUCGCAGUAGACCCAAUUAGUCUAUCCAAAGGAUCAAAAAAAGGCCAAGAACUUACCCCACCGCCAGAAGCCAUUUUCGCUUUCUCCAAUUUGUACUUCUUCUUCACAGUAUCAAUUCUAUUCUUACAUUGGAUAUCAGUUUUCGCAGAUUUUGAAUAAUCUUCUCUGCUACUUACAAUUUCAGCCACAUCUUUCCAGUGCUUCUGCUUCAAGUUCCCUCUGCUCAACUCUAAAUACCUUUCUCCCCAAGCAUCAAUCAACACGGCCGUGGCUCCUUCGCUCCAGCAAUCCUCUCUUCCUCCUCCUCCGCUUCCGUUCGCUUUCGACUUCAUCGGCAAAACAAGUGCUAAGCUGUUGUCAGUCUGCUGUGGCGGCGGGGUUGGAGGCACGGUGGCGGUAGCGGGAACAGUCACGGUGAUUCUUCCGUCCGGUGGUGACGGUGACGGUGAGGAAGACUCGGUGGUGUUUGAGUGUGACUGUAUAUCAUCAUCAUCAUCCAUGACGGAGAGUCGGUGAGAUCAACGGUCAGAUCUGUUUUCUAGAUUCUGGUAAGAGAAAGAGAGUGAGUGAGAGAGAGAGAGAGGAGGAGAUGGUUUUUUAGGUGUUGGGUUUUUGAUGGAUGACGGGAAAGUAAACGGUGACGGUGAAGAAGUGACACGUGGUGGGAGAAGGAUGGAAGAGAAAGGUUGAGGUGGAGGAGUGUGAUUGGGGAGGAAAUAAAUUCCGUCACCGGCAAGGAUGGAAGUGGGACUGGGGAUUGUGUUGCCGGCUUGCAAGGUGAAAGCACGUGUGUAUGCAACUACCAUGCUUUGUCAAAAGGGAUAAAAAUCAUUUAUGGUCCCUAAAACGUUUACAUCUGUUCAACUCAGCUCCUUUACUUCUUUUUGUCAAUUUGUUGACUAGUUUUUCUAUAACUCAAUUUGGUGUACAUGAAUAGUUAGGGACUUAAUCGUUGAAAGAAAGGUAUUCAAAUUCAUAACAGAACAAAGUAAAAGUACUAUUCAACCAAAUUGUAAUAUUUAAGGGAUCGUUUUUACCUUACAUGUCAAUUUUGGUUUGACAAUAUUUUUUUUUUUUUUAAGUGGACGUGGUUUCUAAAAUUAACCUUAGUCAAUUAACGUGUCACAUGAUCAGGGGUGAUUAUUUUUUGUUCGGUUUGGUUUUUAUCAAAAAAAAUAAUUAAAUUGAAAUUUUUCAAAAAAAACCGAAACCGAUUUAAACCGGCCGGUUUCAGUUCGGUUCGAUUUUUUUAGGAUAAAAACCGGUUCAGAGCGGUUUCGCUCGUUUUUUCCGGUUUUUUUUGUUUGGGUUCGAUUCGGUUUGGUUUUUUUAUUUUUAGGCUUAUAAAACCGAAACCGAACCGAACCGAUCAGUUUUUUCAAAAUUUUAAUCUGUUUAAUCGGGUUUUUUUCACGAUUCAGUUUUUUUGGUUAUUUUUUUUCCGAUUUUCUCGGUUUUUCGGUUUUUUUGCUCACCCCUACAUAUGAUAGACUUUAUCCUCGAACGAUCGCCUGAAAUGACUUGUCUCCUUUUCACUUCAUACUUCGAAGAUUAAAAGAAAAGCUAAUUCGCAUGGGAAAAAUAUUGUACAUUAGGUGUAAUUUACUAUGGAUUACAAUAGUAGAAUUAUGUUCUUGUCCCUAAUAAAAAAAACAUUUAUAACUAGCCUAUAGGGGUAGAUUAGUAUUUUUAUUGGGUUCAUUUUGUCACUUUUCAAUUGUUGAGGGGCAUCUAUAUAUAGUGGAUUUACUUUAGUACCCUUAAAAGCAAUUUUUAACUUAAUUAUAUUCAAAGGCAUUGUUUGUUUUAUACUUUUUUUUAGAAUAGUGCAAUAAUUCUAUCACCCUUAAAAGGACAAUGCUCAAAGCAUCUUGCAGGGGCCAAUUCUUCAUUUCAUGAUGGUUAGCAAUAGCUUUUUGGUCUUCAGGGUGAUGUUGUCUUUUGACACGUAAAAAAAAUAAAAAGUUAUUGACGCAUGUGUUAGCCACUCCGUUGUUUUUGGACGGCACAUGUAGAUGACUGCAGUGGUGGAAAAAGAUGUUCUUUCAUGCCAUUGGAUGCUUCUCGUCGUUCUCUUCCUUCCUAGAUAGCGUGUGUAUGAUGAUGAUAUCUGACUUGGUGUCGGUUUGCUUUUUUUUCCCCUUCAUUUCUCUUAUAUGUCUCGGUUUUCGCAUUGCCCAUAAAAACAAGCACAACAAACUUUGAACUUCUUUUCUUUUCAGAUUCAGCCCAUGUUUUACUUGUUUUAUUUGUAAAAAUCACUUCAAAUUAAAAAGUUUUUUCAAUUUUAUCCUUUGUAAGUUCAUCUCUGGAAUUUGAUCCCUACUCUUUUAAUAUUUUUUUUCAGAUGGCUUGUAGAUUUUAUUUGUUUCUUGCGAUCUCAACCACAUUCUUUUUUUUUCUUUGACUCUUUUGUCAAAGUUUUUAUAGUUUUUAAUUUUAUCCUUCAAAACAAAUUUGUGAUUUUUUUCAAUAAUAAUAAUAUUUAUUUCAAUUUGGCCUUUCUUCUUUUGAUUUUUUAUUUGUUUUCUUUGCCAUUUUAUCAAAAUUUUUAUGGUUUUUAGUUUUAUCCUUCAAAUCAAGUUUAUGAUUUUUUUCAUAAUAAUAAUAAUAAUUGUAGUAGUUGUAAUAAUAAUAAUGAUGAUAAUGAUAAUUAUACUAUUAAUAGUGAUGAUAAUAUUGAUGAUAAUAAUAGUUUAUUAUGAUAGUAAUGAUGGUGGUGGUGAUGAUGAUUAUAAUAAUAAUAGUGGUGGUAAUAAUAAUUAUAAUUAAAAUAAUAAUAGUAAUAAUAAUGAUGAAACCAAUAAUAAUACUAAUAAUAGUGAUAAUAAUUGUAGUGAAUGUAGUAGUUUUUUUAUGACAAUAUUAGUUGCGAUGAUAAUAAUAAUUGUGAUAACAAUAAUAAUAACAACAAAAGUAAUAAUAGUAGUAAUGAUUGUUGCAGUAAUAGUAAUAAUACAAUUAAUAGUGAUGGUAAUGGUAAUAGCAAUGUUGGUGCUAAUAAUAGUAACAAAUGAUAAUAUUAAUAUGGUUGUAAUAAUAAUAAUAAUAAUAAUAAUAAUAAUAAUGGUGAUGAUAGUGGUGAUAAUAAUAAUUUAUUAAGAUAGUAAUAUUGACAAUGAUAAUAAUAACAAUAGUAGUAGCAGCAGUAGUAGAAAUAAUUUAUUAUGUUAGUUGUAAUGAUUAUGAUAUCAAUAAUUAUGGUGAUGAUGGUAAUAAUUGUGAUAGUAAUAUUAAUAACAAUAAUAAUAAUAUUAGUUUUAAAGGUACCAAUAACAACAACAAUAAUAAUAAUAUUAUUAAUAAUAUUAUUAUAAUAAUAGUUAUAAUAGUAAUAAUGAUAGUGAUUGUGACAGUUAAAACAAUGAUAAUAAAUAUAAUUAUAGUUAUAGUUAUAGUUAUAGUUAUAGUAUUAAUGAUAAUAAAUAAUAAUAAUGUUAAUAGGGCUAAUAAUGAUAAUGAUAAUAAUACUAUUAACAAUAAUAAUAAUAAUAAUAGUAAUAGUAGUAAUAAUAGUCUGUUAUAAUAAUAGUAGUGGUAAUUACAGUAGUAAUUAUGGCGAUAUUACUUAAUAAUAGUAGUAGUAAUAGUGAUAUAUAUACUGAUACUAAUAAUAGUAGUAUUGAUAAUAAUAAUAAUAAUAAUAAUAGUGAUAAUAAUAAUUCAUCAUUCGAUAUUAGAUUCAUUAGGAAUUGAGUUUUUAUAUAAGGUAUUUCCAAUCUAAUAACCCGGAUAACCCGGAUUAGAGAUUUAAAACUUGUAUUUGACUGGACAUCAUUUUUUAUUUUUUGCUUUAUUGUUUUUUUUAUUAAUUUUAUCAUUAAACAUUAAUUUUUUAAAAUAAAAAACUAAUUUUUAGGAAUUUCCUUCCAAUUUAUUAAAUAAAUCAACUCCAAUUGAAUUAAUUUUUAUAUAAUUUAAUUAAAAACUUGUGCCGUAAAAAAUUAAGUUAAAAGAUUUAAAAAUUCAUCCUUUUCAACAGGUUUAAUAAUAAUAUUGCAAAAAUAUCUUUGCGCUAUUAAUGUAUAUUUUUUUAAUGAACUAGUCUGAAAUAAAUACUGUAGAAAACAUUCCAGUUUUCUUUUUAAUAAAAAACAUAAUCAAAAUCAAGAUUGAGUUUUACUAAAUAAAAUCAUAAAUACAUUGUGAUUAAAAUUACAAUAUAUUUUUUUAUAAAAUAAUUAUCAUCUUAAUAUUUUAUAUUUGUGAUAAUAUAAUUGAAAAAUAGUUAAUUAAAUUUAUAACCAAAAAUAAAUCUAUAACAUUAACUAUAUAUAUAUAUAUAUAUAUAUAUAUAUAUAAUUUUAAUACCUACUAAAUAUAAAAGAAUAAUAAUUUUAAUCGUUCGUGACAUUUUUUAACUCUGAUUUUUUUAAAAAAAUAUUAGAGAAUUAUUUCCAUUUCCAUUUAAAUUUCCAUUUUUGAAAUCUGCUUUUUUUAGUCUCACAAAACUUAAAUCCAAGAACUCUCGUUGGAAACGAUUAUUUGCAAAAGUUCUAACACAACAAAACCAAACCUCUUACUUUCAAAAGUGCUAACACCACACAGCCCACUGACUAUACGCAGUCUCCAUGCCCAAACUAUCAUCAAGUUUUCUAUCAAGCUCAGUACAACACAGGUUGCUGUCUUCUUCUUCUUUUCUAUUUUCCCCCCCUUCCUUUUCACAGUUUUGUCACGGCAGACAAGGUUUCUAACUUGCACAUAAGCAUCAUAUCAUUCCUUCUUUCUCCGAGUGGAGCUCUUAGACUACUGCUUCAUCACAAUCACAAAAAUGGCCAUUCUUGGCCUUUCUCUCUCUUUCUCAUUUGUCCCAUUCAAUAAUUCUGCUUCUCUUCCAUCAUAAACAAUGCUCGACAUGCUUCCAUACACUGAGCUAAAAUUUCCAUCUGCGCAUCCACCACUUCUUCCAUGGUAACUCCUAAACUACCUGAAAGGUUAAACCGGGAAAUAUAAGCAACAUGCCAACAAAUGAGCAAUGGCUGUGUUAUGUCCCAAGGCAGUACGAGAGAGUUGAAAACAAUGAUAUUUUCAACCACUUCUCAUAAGCAUUAUAAGGCCAUCAUGAUUUACCAUAAUUGCUACAAAAAAGAAAAGAGAAAGAAAUUUCUAAUAGUGUUUUUCUGUGGUCACGAGAAACUAUGUGCGUACAACAUACAUUUAUCCUUUUUCAAUGCAUAGUCUUACUAUGACUUGGAAUCGAUUAAGGAAAAGCAAUCUGAAUUGAGAUUGGCCACAGUUGAUGAGGGGAAUGAAAAGAAUUUCGGCAAGGGGAAACAGUAAGUGAAGCUCUUGAAGACCAAGCAAGCAUGAAAUGACGAGAAAGAACUGGGAGGGAAUUGGGAUGACAGAAAUGCUAGCAUUCUAGCAGCUAUACAAACUCCAUUCCCAUUUUUUUGGCAAAAGAUCAACAGAAAGAUAGCGUGAUUCGUGCUUCACGUAGCAGACUUCCAUGAUGGUGAAAAUCUGCACACCCUUGGCAAACUCUAUUAAAAGAGGAAACUUACCGAGAAUAUAGUAAACAAAAGCAAUCUGAGCUCAAUUUCCCGAAGCAAUCCUUCGUUGCACCACCAAAUCAUCAGCAGAGUAAUAAUCUGCGAUGAGUCGAUACAUGUAUGAUGGAUUGUGCCCUCCACUGUAAAGUAAUUCGAAUUUAGAAACUGUUAGAAUUGCAUGAGAAGAAAAUAUAAAUAAAAUGGAAUUACUUAAAAAUUGGAAGUUGGAACGUGACAGAAUUAUGUCAACCCCAUCUGAUUUGGCACAAGAGGCCAAACAAUAUUUAGUGGAUAAGAAUUAUCCUUAUCAAUAAUUCGUCACUUUGCAUUAGUGGUUGUCAAUAAAUCAAUAGGAUUAAAGUAAAAUAAAUGCUGUUCAAUAUGUUCUUAUCCAAAAUAGAUGAUGUCCUCAAAAGUACUAGGACUUACGUGUCAGUGAUAAACAGACUAACAAGCUUCGGUGGCACAUAAUCGAAUGCUGGAUUGACAACAUGAAGAAGAGGAGAGCCAGUGCCACUCCCAAAAUCCAAGCAAUCUGAGAAUUCUCCAAAAUCCAGCAGCUCAGAUGGAGAUCUCAAUUCAUUAAGUAAGACCUCAGGAUUAUGAGGGUAAAGGGGACACAACUGCCAUGCAGGAAAAACAACCAAGUGUAAGAAGGGCCAAACAAAGAAUUAGAAUAAUUUUUAAAUGUCAAAGUCAUAAUUAUCACCACAGAUGUCAUUAACAUUAUCCAAGUCAUUUUACCUACUGUUUUCACCAUCCAGUUACAAUUCAACAAAGAAAUCACAUAUUUGUUUUUCUCCCUUUGGCUUCAUCUUUGGAUUCAUAAACAACUUUUGACCUCUCUGGGAAUUUUCAUCCAUGUCAUGAGUACUAGAUUUCUAGAAACUAAACAUUAGGGGGAAAAAAUCAAGAAAUCAAUUUGAUAAACAAUGAUUUGAGUUCAGAAGAACACAAGAAGCUACAAAAGACAAAAUGUUAAGCAUUUAGGAACACCAAACGCAAGAGUUCUUUGUUAUAACUUGCAAUUUUUAUGCUUAUAACUCAAUCAAUUUAUACCCUAUUAGGGUUUUGCUAAGUCAGCAGCAUGAGCUGCCACCAUGGCCCAGCAAAUAAAGACCGACACUAACAGAAUAAAGAGCUGAGAAGGGAUGCCAAACAUCUUCUGGGUCACAGAAUAGACAUUCCAUUUAUUACCAUUUAGUUGUCUUUUUUUCCUGUCACAAGUUGAGCAGCAUAACAGCAGCAAAAAUAGAGCAAACAAUUCACAUAUGGCAGUUUGCUUGCUUGCUACCAAAACUCUAGGGGCAAGUACGGAUAUUAUUUUGCUAAAUUACCUUGUGACUGCCCGCAAGCACAACAAAAGGUACAGCAUGCUUUUGAGCUGCAAGUGCAACCAUAUUGAGCCCGACAGGUGCUAUCACACCACCGUUGGCCAUUACAGCAUGAGCUCCAACUAUGACCUUUACAUAACAAAUUUAAGGCGGGUUAAAAUAGGCCGCAUACCAAUACUAAAAAAUAGAGAAGGAAAGAAAAAAACCUAGACUCCCUCUUACCAUGUUCACUCGGGAAAUUAUGGCAAAAACUGCAGAGUCAGUAAUCAAAGUAGUCUGUAAACCUCUUGCAACCAAUUCUUUUGCAAGAAGAUGCCCUUGAUACCUAGUUAAGUACCAAUUGACAAUGAAAAAACUUGUAUUUUAACAAAGAGAAGACUUAAAAUAGUUAUCCAGCCCCGUAACUACCAAGCGACUUGUACUCACCUCGGAGCACCCUCAGCGACAAAAACCCGGAAUGAUCUUUUCUUUUCCUUCGCUGCAUAAAGAAAUUCCAACACUGUCUUUGAACUACCUAAUGUUAAUAUUACCUCACUGAAAAGAUGUGUUUAACAAUCGAGUCAAUAAAAGAAAGUGUCAAAAGCAAUGAAUUAAUAUAUCUAGCAAUUAAAAAUCUAUGUCAUGGAAACUGAAAGUUUACACUAGGAGUGUUUUCAAAUUACUCAAUGAAAGAGGGCAUGACCUUGUACAUGUGAACAGGAGAACUUAUGUAAGAAUAUACACUAGGAGGGUGAAAUUGUUGGCUACUGAUAAAGCAUCCACAAGGCUAAAAGCCAUGCAAUUGAGAUAACUGAUCUGAAACUUUACUUAAACCAGGGACAUAUUCUCUUUGCAAGAGAAAUUUAGCACUGAAAAAUUGGAAAGAUAACAAAAUUGAAAGAUAAUAUCACAUCCUCAUUUGAAAUUCCAACAGUCAGUUCAAAGAUCAAACUUUAACAUUGAAGGCAUAAAAAAGAAAAAAUUGGAAAGAUAACAAAAUUGAAAGAUAAUAUCACAUCCUCAUUUGAAAUUCCAACAGUCAGUUCAAAGAUCAAACUUUAACAUUGAAGGCAUAAAAAAGAAAAAAUUGGAAAGAUAACAAAAUUGAAAGAUAAUAUCACAUCCUCAUUUGAAAUUCCAACAGUCAGUUCAAAGAUCGAACUUUAACAUUGAAGGCAUAAAAAAGAAAAAAUUGGAAAGAUAACAAAAUUGAAAGAUAAUAUCACAUCCUCAUUUGAAAUUCCAACAGUCAGUUCAAAGAUCGAACUUUAACAUUGAAGGCACAUAAAAGGAGCUCACAGGAUAUUAAAAGUGAUACCAUGACACCCCCAUUUAAAAACUGCUACCCCAUGAACCAUAAUAACCCACAGCAUAGAGAUGAUUGAUGAAUGAAGACAUCCCAGUAUCCCAUGAUAACCCAUGGCAUAGACUCAAUUCGCCUCUAAUUUUUUCACUCAAUUCGCCUCAACUCAAAUACUACUAAUUUGAGUAAAAUUACUCUCAUACUGCUAACUGCUAUGAGAAACAUAAAGCUCUAUUCAGAAUCAAACUAAAUACACUACUUAUGAAAUCUGAGGACCGAUUACAGACUACAAGCAUGUCCAUGGAUACUUGUGAAUGAAAAACUGUAUGCAUGACAAAAUUAAAGUAAAAACCAUAAUAGGGACAAAAAUAAAAAUGAACCAGAGACCAUCAUAUCAAUUCUUGUAUGUCAAAUGGAACUUUAGUGCCAGCAACACAAACCAAAACAAAGAAAAGGAGCUCAUAGGGAAAAAAUGAACUUAAUGGUCAAAGCUUGAUUGAGAAAAAUUACUUUUGAUGAAUAUGUUCUAUGGCUUGUUCAGCAAUCUGUUCAUGACAAGUGGUAAUAUCUUGAAUAAGCUCGUUAACUGCUUCAAUGACAUCAUGCUUCAACUUUCGAGUUCUUGAACUUUUAUCAGCAGCUGUUACAGAAAAAGUCCUUACAUAUCAAAAUGCUCCAUCACACACACACACACACCAUAUGCUAGACCACCACAAUCAUCUGAGUUUCAGAUAAAUACUUGUUCAACCAAAUGAACCUAUUUAAUGUGCAAAAUGAUCGACUGGCAUACUGUGUGCAAUCAUAAAAAAAACACUUAGAACGACCAUCCAUUUAAAUAACUCACAUUUGCUUUUUCCUUCAGAAUCACCUCCCGACGAAGAAGUACGGGGAAUAGCUGCUGACUCGGGCAUGUCCUCCAGCAGGGUUUGCAAGGAAGGAGGACGCAAAGUGCUUCUCGCAGCAGCAGCAACAACAGCAGCUGAUAGAACUGUAUGCUCAUCUCGCUCACCAUCGUCGUCGUCAUCCCCAUCACUUGCCGCUGAUAAGUUCAAACCCGCAAUAGCAGCUGUUGUCAAAGAAAGAUCCUCCUCCCUAAUAAUGUGCAAAACACGCCUCACAAUAUUACCCACAGCAAGCUCUGCAAACAAAUGUAUACAACAACAGAAACAUUACCAAAAACAACAAAAUACAAGACUCUAUAAGAAACCAGUCCAUGACUCAUUACCCUAAAACAACACUCUAGACUAGCAUUCAUUUUAUCAAAUGAAAUACUCACCAACAGGAUUAGCAGCAAUCAGCUUCUCACCAACAGCCCUCACAGCAUCAAUUAAAGCCCCAGCCUGAUUCGUGUAGGGAACUCGCUGCUGUGAAAUAACUGAUCUUAACAGUUCUGCUGUGUGCCUCGCCGUGGCCUGCGAGCCCUCAAUCUUACUGCCAAAUAAACAACAAAAAACAAAAUAACCUUGUUAAGAAAAAAUCAAUUAACACACGCAAUUAGUGAAACAUUAAUGAAAAUAAUCACCGUUUCUUAAGCUUGAUAAGAAAAUCAUUAACAAGAGCUUGCACGUCCGGCAUGAUUUUCCCUUGAACUUCACCUACAAAAACAUAUUCUAAUUAUCAAUAUCAUUUCCUUCCUACAGUAACAUUACAAAAACGCUAUAGUAUUCCGAAGCUAGUAUUUCUUCGCAUUUCUACAGUUUUCUCGGCAACCAAACAGAGUAAGAUAGAAAAUUAAAUGAAAAGGAAAAGGACAAACUGCAAGAAAUUAAAAAUUCAACAAAUUUCACCUGAAAUGAAAUGAAAUAAAUUUGAAGAGAAAAUUAUAAAAAGAAUAAAAAUAAAGAUAAAUCGGGGAGAGAGAGGGAGAGAGAGACCGUAGAGAUACCUAAAGCGGAGAUCGAAGAAGCAUAUGAACGCGAGCGAGAGAGAGAGAGAGAGAGGAGAGGUUUUUGCUUGUGCGAAAGGAAGAGAGAGUUUUAGAGCUUCUCACUGAAGGUUUUUUCUUUUUUUGCGCUUUUUUAAACCCCGUUUAUUUGCUCAAAGGGAUUUUUUUUUUGGAAAAUGGUUUUUUUAUAAAGUAUAUUCUUAAAAAUUGAUUUAAUUUUUUGAAUCUGAUAGUAUUAUAAAAAAUAAGUUGGAAAAUAUUUUUUGAUGUUUGGUUAUAUCAUGAAAAAUAAAUUAUUAAUAUUUUAUUUUUAAAAAAUUUAUUAAAAAAUAAGAAACAAAUCUUACAAAUUAAAAAGUUGAAUAAGAAUGAAAUUGAAAAAUAAUUUAAUUUCAUAAAAAUUAUCUCAAAUAAAAUAAAUAACACUCAAAAUAAUAAAAAUCAAGUCUAAUAGAUAAAAAAAUUUAAAGAUGAUGAAAUUAAAAAAUAAUUAAAAUUUCAUAUAUUAUUUCAAAUAAAAAAAAUAGUGAUCAAAAAAAUAAUGAUCAAAUAUGAUAGAUAAAAAAUUUUAAUUAAAAACAAAUAAGAAAAAAUCAAGUAACAAUAAAAAAAUAAGGAUUAAAGCUGAUAUAAAAAUCAAAUCAAAGCAAAUUUUAAGAGCUGAAAUUAAAAAAAAAAAUCAAAACAAAAUAUAUAGCAAUCAAAAGUUUAAGAAUCAAAUUUAAUAUAAUCAACAAAUAACAUGAUAUUUUUAAAUUUUUCAUAAUUUUGAAAAGUGUUUUCCUUCAAAAUAAAAGGAAAAUAUUUUUCUGAAAAUCAAACCAAAUUUUUUUUUGAUUUGAAAAUAUUUUUGGUUAGCCAACCUUUAUAAUAAUAAACAAACACAUAAAAAUUUAAAAAGUAAUUUUUAAAAAAUAAUUUUGGAUGAACCAAAUGGGGUUUUGGUCCAGCUUAAUAGAAACUUUGAUAUCAAUGCUAAAAUUACCUAUUUAAAUUCGUAUGGUUUCUUUUAGAUAUAAAAAUUUAAGAUUAUUUUAUUUUAUUUAUAUUUUUUAAAAUUUUUAUUGUUUGGAAAAUAAAAAAAAAAGUAAAUUUUUCAAAGCAUCUAUGAAAAAAUUUAACUCGAAAUAUCAAAGAUUUAAAAAAAAUAUGGGUUUUAGAUGACAUUAAUUGUCAAAAUAAAUGGAUAAUAUUUAUUCAAAAAAUUAUAAUUCAAAAAAUUAAUCAGAUUGAAAGGACAGUCUCGGUAUAUCACAACCUUAAUAGUUUAGGGACAAAACUGACAUUAAACCAUGAAGAAAGGAUGAAAUUGUUUUUUACUGCCGUGUAUGUUUGGGUAUUCUAGAUUGCAAUACGGGUUACUGGAAGGGAACUUUCUAGGCAAAACUUGUAUAAUUCCUUUAACUAUAAGGGUAGUCUCAAUCCACCCUUUAAAGAACUUUUAUCUCAAUUAAGUCCCUCAAGUAUUGAGAAAUUCGAAAUCGAAGUUUUCACCUAUUCUUCACAAAUUUUUAAGAGAAUAAGUUUUUUUGAAAAAGGAAAACACAUCCUUUUCUUAUUGGAAAAAAUAUAAAAGAUGAAUGUAAUUCCUUAGCAGAAAUAGCGUAUAUUUGUUCUUAUUUAUUUUUAUCAUAUAUAGGUGGUGUGUUUAAUGGAACGAAAGGAUACUAGAAUAAUAUAAAAUAAGAAUUCAUCAUUUCAAAUCCUGAGGGGUGUAGUCAGACUCUAGGUUUGCUUUCUAGAGGUUAUCAGUUCGAGUCUCACAAAUCUCAGGGUCACUGGAGGCUUACAUGGUCGUUAAUUUCAGGACCCGUAAGAUUAGUCGAUGUGCGCACAAGUUGGACCGGACAUCCACGUUAACAAAAAAAAAAAUAUCAUUUCACAGUCAUUAAACCCACUCCAAGAUAAGGGUUUGAUCAUGAAUUAUUUUGUAUUAUUGACGGAUUUACUAGAGUUGAAAAAAUAUUUUUGUAAGGAGUGAGGUUAAAUGUUAAUUCAAUUCCUUUACUAAGAUGAAUUAUAUAUAUAUAAAGAUUUCAGUUAUCGGUAAAUUUUAUGCUAUUAAUUAAAUUUUUAUUUUUAACUCUGAUUCAACCAUCUUGUCCAACCAUUAUGGAUUACAUCACAUUCUAAUAUUGGAUUUCACAUUCUACAUGACAUUAAUAACAAUUAUCAACAUUAAAUAAAUAUAAAAGUAACAUUUACAAAAGCAUAACAAUCAUUUUUUUUUUAACGAAACAAGUUAUAUCAGAAUUACAUAUUAAAACAAAUGUCCUUUAAUAUGAAAAUUAACUAAUCAUCAUAAAGUCUAGACAUUCACUUAUAUUAUACCCUUCCUCCAAUAAUUUACGCAAACAAUCUGAUUUCCCAUUGUGUCAACUUAACUAGUUGUCACAUAAUUGGGUCAUCACUCAUAUCAAUCAAGAAAAUCCAGUAAUUUUUGGGAUCAAGAGGUUUGCUCCCUCUGUGGUCUCAGGUUCAAAUCCUGUGGUUGCUCAUAUGAUGGUCACUGGAGGCUUACAUGGUCGUUAACUUCAAGGCCUGUGGAAUUAGUCGAGGUGCGCGCAACCUGGCCCGGACAUCCAUGUUAAACUAAAAAAAAAAUUAAAAAAAAUCCAGUAAUCUAUACAGCUACCUAUAAAUUCGAUAAUCAUAUAAUUAUCAGUAAUCUAGCUAACCCCUUCUAGUAUUUAAUAUAUUUAAUUAUCCACAUUAAUACUAAUAAUCUAGCCAACCUCUCAUGAUAGCUAAUAAAUUCGAUAAUCCGUUCUGUUACCAAUUAUCCAACUGACCUCACUCGACAGCUAAUAAAUCCAUUUAAAAUUAUAAUAUAAUCUUGUUUCUAUUUCACCAAAUUUUUUCAACAAUUAAUAUACAUCAUCAUAAAUUAACCAUAAUUAACACAAAAAUAGAUUAAAUUAUAUAAAUAUUAAAGUGAGAUGAAAACCCACCACUCACGAUGCUCUAGCUCCUCUUAAAAAUUGUCCGGGAACGCGGUGCAAACCGUGUUUCUAAAAAAUUUAAUUUUAUUUUUAUUUUUUAUUAAAAUUUAAUAUGUUUUGUAUGUUUUGGAUCGUUUUGAUGUGCUGGUAUCAAAAAUAAUUUUUUAAAAAUAAAAAAAUAUCAUUGACAUGCAUUUCAGUACAAAAAAUUAUUUGAAAAGUAGCUAAAACCAGAAUGCCAAAUAUAUUCUUAACUGGGAUCCUACUCUGACAUUCUCCCCUUAUUCAAUAAAAUUAUGCCAUGUCACUAUCCAUCAAUGCUUCAUCUAUUGGCCAGGAUACCAUUCUCAUGUGCCCCUUGAUUCAAUAAAAUUAUGCCACGUCAUUAUCCACAAUGAUUCUCCUUGUGGCUAAGGCACGCAAAUCUUUAAUUUAAUUCAACAAAUCACACUUCCCAUUUAGAGUGUGUUUGGUAUUGUGGUAGUGGUUGCGGUUGUGGUUUAAAAAAAAUUAUUUUAUAAAAAGUAUUUGUAGUUGAGGUUGGUUUGAAAAAAUAGGUGUUUGGUUAAAACUGUGGUUGAAAUUGAGGUUGAAAAAAAAGUAGUUUAAUGUGUUUGGUUAAAAAAUGCUUUUCAAAUUGAGGUUAUAAAAUAAUUAAAAAAGACAUAUUAAUAUUGAUGAUUUUUAAUUGAAAUAUUAACAAUUUAAUUACUGCUAUUACAUAAUGAAAUAAACAAUACUUUAUAUAAAGUAUUUUUAUUGUCAGAUUAAACUAUGUUCAAUUUCAUCAUGUAUGAAAUCUAUUCAAUAAGGACUACAGUUUUCAUGGUUUUCUGAGCGUGCAACAACAUAAGGUAAAAUAUCAUCAGGAAUAAAAUUGGGAUUGCGAUCAAAUUCUGCAAAUGCUACGCCAUCAUACGAUCUACUUCAAAUGUAAUUAUGUAGUGCCAUUGAAUCAUGUGAAACAUUAGUUUUUCAAAUAAAACACAAUAUUGAGAAAAAAAUUUAGAUUUUUUUUAUUUUACUGGGUCACAUCCGGUUCAAUACAUUUAGGUUUGAGUCGGACCGGUUCGAUGCAUUUAGGUUCGGGUUCGGCCCAUUAACAAUGGAGCUGAUCUCCACUAUUCACGUGAACAGUAGAGAGUGAAUUAAUUCACUCUCCACUGUUCACGUAGCUGAACAGUGGAGACAUGGAGAAGUGCAGAACAAGAAGAAGAAGAAGAAGGGGAAGGAGAAGGGGAAGGGGAAGGGGCGGCGGCCCUGGGCGGUGGUGAGGGAGCCGCGCUCCACUGUUCUGCAACGUGAACAGUGGAGACUCCACUGUUCACGUUGUAGAACAGUGGAGACAUGGUGCGCAGAACAAGAAGAAGAAGAAGAAAGGGAAGGAGAAGGGGAAGGGGCGGCGGCCCUGGGCGGUGGUGAGGGAGCCGCGCUCCACUGUUCUGCAACGUGAACAGUGGAGACAUGGUGCAGAAGAAGGAGGAGGAGGAGGAGGAGGAGGAGAAGGGGCGGCGGCCCUGGGCGGUGGUGAGGGAGCUACGCUCCACUGUUCUUCAACGUGAACAAUGGAGUCUCCACUGUUCACGUUGAAGAACAGUGGAGACAUGGUGCAGAAGAAGAAGAAGAAGGAGAAGGAGAAGAAGGAGAAGGAGAAGGGGAAGGGGAAGGGGAAAGGCUGGUUAUUUCUCUGCUGCAAGGCGCGCCAUUGUUACUGUGUUGUAACAUAGUUGCAACAAAAGCAGCCCCAAGUUGCUUUGGAGAAGGGGAAGGGGAAGGGGAAGGGGAAGGGAAAGGGCUGAUUAUCCCUCUGCUGCAAGACGUGCCAUUGUUUACUGUGUUGUAACACAGUUGCAACAAAAGCAGCUCCAAGUUGCUUCGAUCGUUGUUGUGUUGCAGACGCAAUAAAAGGCGGGGCCCAUGAACAGUAAAUCCUGUUUUUUUGGUAACCAAACAUGCAGGAGCUGCGUUUCAAGUGAAACGCAGCCGCAGCAGCGUAAACAAACGCUGUCUUAAUCACUACCUUAUUAUUAUGAUGAUUUCCUUACAUCUUCCUUGUAAUGUAUUUUUGAUUAAAUUCUCAAAUCAUCAAAAUCAAAUACAUAAAUUCCUAGUUCACUUCAAGACAAUUUUUAUCACAAUUACAAGUAUUAAUUCUACAUAAUUUCACAAUAUUUAAACACAUUACAACAAUUCAAAUUCUUUUAUCAAAUACAUAAAUUCUCAUUUCACUUUAAAUUGAUUUUUAUCACAACUACAACUACAAGUAUUGAUUCUAUACAAUUUCACAAUAUUCAAACACAUCGCAACAAUCCCGAUUCUUUUCUCGUAUACAUAAAUUCUCAUUUCAUUUCAAAUCGAUUUUUAUCACAAUUACAUAAAUUAUUGGAUCAUUGAACAUAAAUUAUUUAAUGAUUCAAUAAUCAAAGCAAUUUAAUUCAUAUUGUAAACUCAAACACAUAUAUAAUAUAUACUCUUCUUUUUUAUAAACUAAAUUACGAAAUUUAAAUUACAAGAAGGGUAAAUCGCAAAUCUCAAAUUUCAUAUCUUCAAUGAGUUAAAUGGGAAAACAUAUUUGUACAUCCUAAAAUGAAAGGGUGGAUUGACAGUUUGUGGAUUAGAGGCAGUCUCAUUCCUGAAAUUAGAAUAAACCUACCAAAUUUUUUUCAAUCAUGUUUAUUUUUGUGUUGUAAAAAUAUUUUUAAAAAGAUUUGAAAUUUUUUUAUUUCAAAUUAAUAUUUUUUUGAUAUUUUUAGAUCAUUUGAUACGUCAAUAUCAAAAAUAAUUUUUAAAAAAUAAUUUUUUUUUAAAUAUAUUUUUAAAAUUAAAUACUUUAAAAAAUAACAAUAACAACACUCUCGAUCAUGUCUUUAAAGCACGCUAGCUUUGACUGAUGAACAAUGACAUAUCUUUCCAUCUAUUUACUAUAUUUUUAUCCAAGUUAAUCUGCACUUUAAAAUAUUCAAAAAUACUAAAAAAUAUUAUUUUUAAAUAAAAUAAAAUUUAAAAUUUUUAAAGGAUGAAGAGUGAAGAAAGGAAAGUAGUUAUAUAUAGAAUACAUAUGUCAUUAGUUAAAAAGAAUAAGGGCAUGUUUGUCCGAAUAAAAUAUUAAUCUGAAAAAUAGAGGAGAAGCGCGUUUUCCAUGCGAGGAGAAAAAUUGGAAGAUGUUUUCUAACUUCAAGCAUUACGAUGGAAAAAUGUAAAACUUCUUUUCCUUUCUCUAAUUAGAAAUGGAGUAUUACUCUGUAACUGAACACACCCUAACCUUUUUUCUUUUUGUAUUUUCUCGAGAAAUUUCUCUCUCCUUUCCCGCCUGUCCAUCUAUAUUCAUCUCUAGUCUCUACACGCUCCUCUCCCUCUUUCUUUCUCUCUAUCAACGGCUUUAGUUUGAAAAUUCUCUCUUCAUUUCUAUCUCUGUAUAUUCACGCGCAUUUCGUUCAUUUAUUGCCUUAGAGAUUCUUCUCCACCUUAACUCUGUCUCUCUCUUAAAGGGUUUUGAUUGCAAUCAAACUGUGCCAAGGUAUCAUCUUUUUUUGUCAGUUAAUCUAGUUUUCGAGCUUUUUAUUCGAUUUCCUAUCUGGGGUUUUUAUUUUUUGCUGAUUGAUUUGGUUUUUGAGAUGUUUAGAGUAUAAAGUUUGCUUCUUUUUUUAUGUCAAUGCCCUUUUUGAAUAUUCUAUAUCUAUUUUUUGCUUUAGAUUUGCAUAUUAAAAAAAUUUCUCCCUUUUUUUCUGGCAUUUGACGAUUCUUUCUUUUGUUUUAUUUGAUCCACGUACUGUUAUAGUAGUCUUGGGGAGACGUGUUUUCUUGAUCUUUUGUGUCAAGUAUAGUUUUUGCACAGUGAAUUGUCUUUUCAAUUCCCUUUUACAGUCCUAGUUUCUUUACUUGACAAAUCUUUGCUCGAUAUGGUUUUGUUGUGGUGAUUUUUUUUCCUUUGUGUGAUAUUGGGAGUGUGAUUAGCAAAUUAUCGUUUCACACUGUGCUAAUGGUUGUCAUUUGCAACUGCACACCUGGUGUGGUUUUUUUUUUUUUUUUUAAAUGCAUGAUUUUGUGCUAUACAUAAUAUCAUAUGAUGACUAGUUGGGUUGUGGCGAAUAAAUUCCUUAAUUCAGGAAGGUGAGAGUAAUUGACAUCUUCAAUUCUUUGCUCUUUAUGGUUUAUAGGGGUGUUUCUUUAGCAGAUGAAUCAUAUGAUGAUUGGUUAGGUUACGAACUUCGUACUCAGAAGAUACAUUUCCAUUUUUAUGCUCUUUAUACAGGGUCUCUUAGGUUACUUUGAGUGGAUUAACUGGUUAAUUUUCUUAUAAUUUGUCUUGCUCAACUCCUGUCAUGAAUCGCUCGUUUUUCCCAUGUUAACUGGGCAAUUUUACGUCACUUUUUAUUGAAUGUUUUUGAAUGUUAACUGGGCAAUAGUAUCCCGACCAUGCUAUAUGUUACUUUUAGUCAGAUCAGGAAGUUAUAUGUCACUUUUUAUUGAAUGUUUCUGAUAGGUUGAGGAGCCAUAAAUUGUCAAUGCCUUGAAGAAAUAAGGGAAAGAAACCAAGGAGAAAAAACGUUUUGGUGGUAAGACUCCAAGGGUUUCUUGUCUGUGGAAGUGCAUGCUAGUUUCUGUUAGAAGUUAGUUGUCGUUUUUCUAUUCUCAACAACAUGUGUCAAUGAUCAUGUUCUCAGUGACCUUGUUUUACUUAAAUAUGAACACUCUAGUUGUUAUGUUGUUGGAAUAUCUUUGAAUACAUGCUUGAUUUAUAUUUAUAUUCAAUAUAGGCUUGCCAAAAAUAAAUGAUUGCGAUCAUUAUACCAUUUGAGAUUGCUAACCAGUAGUCCACUAAACUGUCUGUAUCUUCAUAAACUUGUUGGUUCUCCUGAUGCUCGGUAUUUUGUCUUCCUUACAGUUUUCUUAACUGCUUUGCUUUUUUUUCCAUUUGUUUGUCUUAGAAAGUUGACGAAUAAAUUGGACUUCUUAGUUAGGACAAUUACAAAUAACAAACCUUCCUUUUAGGGUCUAGAAGCCGCUGCUCAGUUGAUUCAUUAUGAAAUACAAUUUACCUCCGUAUGUUAUCCAUAUUUCAGAGUGUGAUUUAUUGAAAUAUAAAUUUCAUCAUGUUCCUUUAUUAGGAGUUAUCCACUAUUUAAGCUGUGAGCGAAAUUGGAUUGCUGUAUGGGAAAAAUGAAAAUGCUUUUAAGUUCGCAGAAAAAAAAUGUGGGACUGAUUCAGAGGCACCUAUGCUAUUGUUGUUUGACAUUAAUGUCAAGAAUUCGAGUAAAUUGUUAUUUGCUGAUUCUGCAAGUAGAUGUCUGUGAAAUGAUUAAUAAUUGUGUGAAAUGAGAGUUUUUGUUAAUAUCAGACUUCCCUGAUUGACUAUCUUUUCAGAUAGAUAUAUGAUAAGCUAAACUGUAGUUACAUCCAUAUGUAUAAUAUAUUUUAUCCCCUUUGCAUCAAUGUGAUGUAUUUGACAUACUGAUGUAAUCAGGUUCCUCAUUUUUUCCCCUCCUUGUGUGUUGUUUGGGAGUUAGGGGAAGACUUUUUUUUUCCUCUUUCUUUUUUAAAGAAAGCUCUCCUAGUGGAAUUUGACACUUCGACUUGGUUGAUUUAUUGAUGACAUAGAUGUCAAACUUGUGUCCUUUCUUUUCAUACAUGCCAUUUUGCAUGAGUAUAAUGGUAGGUCGCUUUUUUGGAUUUGGAAACUGACUUGUUUGUUUUCUCAUAGGUUGACCACGCUAUUGUAGCAUCUAACAAUCAGUUUUUUUUAUGACAAUCCGAAAUAAGCCUGAGGUUAUUGAUCCUCCUCAAAAUAAAGACAUGACAGAUAUCGUUGAAUGUGUAAACAGUCCUGCUAAGACAGCUUUAAAACCAAAUGUGACUGUGUCUAGCAGUGUUCACGAAUUAUUGGAGUGUCCCGUGUGCUUAAAUGCCAUGUAUCCUCCAAUUCAUCAGGUUUGUUUCAUGCCAUUUUUAUCCAUUCUUGAUUAACCUAAUGAAAAUUCGAUUCUGAUGGAAUUUUACAAGGCUUCUACCUUUUGAUAUCCUUACCCUGUUAAGAAUUUCAAUUUAUAAGUUGGUCAUUUCAUUGGUGUUCUCUUUUGUUGCAGUGUUCAAAUGGUCACACAUUAUGUUCCAGUUGCAAGCCCAGAGUUCAUGGCCGAUGCCCCAUUUGCAGGCAUGAACUUGGCAACAUUAGAUGUCUUGCGCUAGAGAAAGUUGCUGCAUCUCUUGAACUUCCAUGUAUUUAUCGGAGUUUUGGGUGCAUAGGAAUAUACCCUUAUCACAGCAAGUCAAAACAUGAAUCCCAAUGUGUUUUUAGACCGUAUAGCUGCCCAUAUUCUGGAUCAGAAUGCACGGCUAUUGGUGAUAUUCCUUAUCUGGUGGCACAUUUGAAAGAUGAUCACAAAGUUGACAUGCAUAAUGGCAGUACUUUCAACCACAGAUAUGUCAAAUCAAAUCCACAUGAAGUUGAGAACGCAACAUGGAUGCUGACGGUAUUGUUUCUCUUUAUCUGUAUCUAUUCUGGUUUUUGGCUUCCCUCUAAUCCUAAGCAAAGAAGGGUUUUCUCGUUUUUAUGUUGAAUGCGUGUAGAUGCAGUUAUCUGCAUAGUUCCCUUUAAACGCCAUAUGUGUGGAAAACUAGACAUCUUUCAAUUAAUGAUCCUUGUGAACGGAAAUGCUCUUUUGUAGAAGUUAAAAGGGAUUCAUCAUCAUUGUAUGUGUCUUGCUCCCGUUAAAAUCCGACGUGACACUCUAAUUUAUUGCUGGAGCGAACUUUUGUUGUUUGAUUCCUUUGCAGAAACCUGUGUUGUGGACAUUUAAAUGAUUUGCUCGCUAAUUUUUUCACCCCGAUUUUCAGGUUUUUAGCUGCUUUGGUCAGUAUUUUUGUCUGCAUUUUGAAGCAUUCCACCUCGGGAUGUCCCCAGUCUACAUAGCAUUCCUGAGGUUUAUGGGCGAUGACAAUGAGGCAAAGAACCAUAGUUACAGUCUUCAAGUAUGUGGAAGUGGUAGGAAGAUGACAUGGCAAGGGGUGCCUAGGAGCAUUAGGGAUAGCCACCGGAAGGUUCGUGACAGCUUUGAUGGUCUUGUUAUCCAGCGCAACAUGGCCCUUUUAUUCUCUGGUGGAGAUCGGAAGGAAUUGAAGCUUCGGGUGACUGGUCGGAUUUGGAAAGAACAGUGACAGGAUGAUUAAAUUAUCACAACUUCUUCCUAUUAUAGUUUAUCUUCACACCUAGUGAUUAGUUUCAGUUUCUUCUUGUAGCUAGUCCCGUGACCUUUAGUCAUUUAUUUUUUGAAUUAUAGGAGGAAAACUCUCUUUGCUUGUCCAUCCAUCAAAUACAUGAGUGGGAGACCUUACUCUUGUCCCUGCAAUUACAGUAUCUAUAUAGAUUUGCCGCAUUGCUAUUUAGCAACUGUGGAGAUAUGUUCGGCGUGGGGAAAUUUGAUUUGGGCGUGGUUAUGAAACCAAGGUGGAGACAAGACAGCCAAGCAUGUUCCACCAGUUCGACCAGGCUCAGUCAACGGAGGUCGAACUGGUGGACCUAGUUGUUUAUAGAUCGAAAUACAACCAAGCCUGUUGAGGUCUUCUUUCUAUUGGUCUUUCCACGUUUUAUUAUAGCAUAGCAACUAUCAAACUUGCAAGUGCUUUAUUCGGACAGCUGGAAAACAUUUUUUUACUUAUAUUGGAGGACAUUAAAUGAUUGACAAGACAGCAAUUCAGCCUUCUACAACGUUGCCCAUGUAUGCCACGCCCAGAAGGGGCUGAAAACCUUCUCAUCUGGUUUCAUACGACAUACAAAAGACGUUGGAAAAAUUCAAUCAAAACCUGGCUGAUCUGUUCAUAGCAAAAGCCGCACAAAAGCAUUAAAAACCAAGGAAGUUGACCUAAAUGCAAUCUCAUGUGCAUUUAGCCAAGUAUGCAUCCCAUCCUUGAAGGCGGUAUUCGCGAGCUGCCUCUGCAGGAUUUGCUGCCUUUAUAAUCCCACGUCCCACGAUUAUGAUAUCACUACCCCUGUCAUAGAUGACCUGAAACAUCAUUUAUCCCACAGUGAUUAGAACUGUAACAAUUCCCCUUGAAAUAUCAUUCAAAGCAAAUUGCAAUGAAGUGAACAGAUUGAUCACUGAUGCAUACCAGUGAAAAGAUAAGCCAAUGAAUAUGAAUCAAUGCUGCAACUUAUAAAAGAAAAAAACAAUCAAUAUACAGUGAAUUGAACAUACAGAAUAUGGGGUAUUAUACUGCUGUCCAAGGGCAUCACCACCAGUGACCAUUUGAACUCCAGGGGUUGCUUGAAUAAAUGCUGGAUUUACUGGUGCACCUGGCCAUGAAGCUGGAUUUACUGAGAUGAAGCCCAUCACAAAAUCAGAAUGUUCUUCAGCAAUUUUUACCGCCGCAGCUGUGUAAUCUCCCUUAGCAAAGUUACCAGCUGAACUCAUUUCAGCAAGCAGCAAGAGGCCCUUCCCACGAGGCAAACCCUAAAUAGAGUUCAAGGGUAUUCAGAAGUUAUCUUAGAUAACGAUCAGGCAUAAUCCAUUAAUAUGAUUCCAGAUAAAAGCUGUGCUAGCUAUGAGGCAUACCUUCAAUUUCAAUCCAUCCACAAUUCCAGGACCAGAAAUAAUGUGACAAUUAACUAUAUCAGCCCAAUCCAGUAUACGGAAGAUGCCCCUGUGAAAAACAAGGCCACAAACCUCAGACUUCUGCCAGGGUACUAACAGAAAGGAAACCAGAACAGAAAAGCAACAGGGACGCUGCUUCUCACCCUUCAUACUGCAUAGUCACUGUGUUACCAAUGUCUGCAAACUUACGAUCUUCAAAAAUUAAGAAAUUGUAUUUAUCUGCAAUCUACAGCAUGCAAAAGCACAGUGAGCUAUAUAAAACAAAAAAAGGAAGAGAAAAAAAACAAGGACAGCGCUAUUCAGCUGCUAGGGGAUCUCAAGGAAAUAAAGUCAAAUUAUCAGCACUUCUACCUAAUUACCAACCAAACCAAACUCCACAAGAACAAUUAGGAAUGUCUGAGUAUGCUCAUUUUGUACUGAUAGUUGCAGAUCAACAACAUCAACACUUUCAAAAGAUUCAUUCUCGUCAUCACAUUACAUAUAAAGGACGUUCAUCAAACAAGUCAAUUUCAAAACGCCCCUCAGCUAACUAAGUUACAGCUGGAAACAUAACGAAAUUUACAGCCCCACUGUCAAAACAUGCAAUUAUUAUUUUGCCAUCCAAAAUGAUAAUCGAUGGUCUAAAGCUAGCAUUGACAUAAGCUCCAUAUCAUCAAAUGGUAAAGCAUUUCGAAGUAGAAUUUCAUGCUUCCAGAGAAUCUGAAGAAUUCAAUCUCUACGCAACAACUAAUAUUAUAAUACCACGAAAAAAAAAUGGAAAGCAGCAAACUUGAAAAAUACCACUAAAUUUAAAGGCAUACCGCACGAAGUUUUGCUCCAAAAUCAGGAGUGAAAUCAGGCAAAAUAUCAACAUGGGUUUUCAACAAACAUAUCUCCUGUCCAACCUACAGCCAAAAGAAUAUCAAAGUCAGCCAAUCAAGAAAACAAACAAACAAACAUCACACUCCAAUCAUCCCCGGCCCACCCCAGUAUCAAAACACUUACUUUCUCAGCAAGCUCCAGCAAUUCCUUAGCAGUACCAACAUCAGCAGCAACACAUAAAUUACUCUCCUUUUUAACCAUAACCUCAAACAACCUCUUCCCCAUUUCAUUCUUUGCUAACUUCGCUCUCUCCUCAAACCCUAAACUCUUGACCCUAACACUCUUCUCCACCGCUUUAACAACACCAACCCUUCUAUUCUCCUCCAAAAACCUCAAAACUCCCUUCUCCGUUUCCUCUUCCAACUUCCCCUUAUCCCUCAAAACCCUAACCAUCUCACUCAACUUAAUAAUGGCAUGUAACUUAAUCCCAUUCUCCUCCAAAUUCUCCCUCCCUCCUUGUUCCCUAUCAAUCAAAACCACCGCGUCCGUCACCUUCAACCCCGCCGCCCUCAAAGGCGCUGCCGUUUCAAGAACAGAAGCCCCACUAGUAACUAAAUCCUCAAUUAUCAAACAAGCCUGGUCCUUUUGGUAAUUUCCCUCAAUAGCCUUCGAAGUACCGUAAUCUUUCACUUCUUUCCUGCGCAUUACCAUGGGGAUGUCGUUGGAGAUUGAUACGGUGGUGGCGAUUGGAAGAGCUGUGUAGGGAACGCCGCAUAUGAGGUCGAAAGUGGUGGUGGUCGGGAUGGAGGUGAUUAGGGUUUGGGAAAUGUGGCGGAGGAGGGAGGGGUAUGAGAUUAUGAGGCGGAGAUCGAUGUAGACUGGGGAGGUUAUACCGGACUUGAGCUUGAAGGAGCCGAAUUUGACGGCGGAUAUUUCAUGGAGUUGGAGAAUUAGGGAUUCCAUAGAAGACAUCUUGUGGCGGUGAUGGCGGUGAGAGAAGCGAGGGAAAGAGUGAGCGAGUGUCAGUAUUGGAGUGGAAACGGAAGUGUUUAUGUAAGGAAGGAAAGUUAUCAUCUUGACUUACAUUUUCUUUCUUUUUUUGUUCUUGAUUUAUUUAUUGCUCAGUUCGUUUCUUUGUUUUAAUAUUUUAAUAAUGAGUUAUUGUCACAAUUUUGUCAUGCAUUUUUUUUUUAAAAAAUAUGAUCUACCCUGAAAAAAAUACGAAUUAUUAAUUAAUUUGAACAUCAUUUAUUUAAUUUAGAUUUUUUUUGUAAUUUAUUUAAUUUAGAUCUUCGAGGACGGUUUUCUCUUCUGAAUUUUGAUAUAUUUUGUUGGAUGGUUUUAAUGCUUAUGUUAGAUUUUAAGCGUCGAAACUUAACCUUCCUUAAUCAUACUUAAUUAACACAAAUCUUAAAAACCAUUUACAAUCGAGUGAGUUAUUGCAAUAGAAGCGAGUGUAGUUCAAACAAUUCAAUUUGGAUCAGAAAAUUCAACUAGACUGAUUUAAAAAAAAAAAAUCAAACUCAAUUAAAAAAAAUAAAAGAAUUAAAUUGAUUGAUCCGAUUUAGUUCCGUUUGAUUUUAUAUUUAUUAAAACCAAAUAAAUCUAAUUUAAAUUAACAAGUCUGGAGUUAUUUUUUACAAGCAAUUAAUUUGGCAUAGUUUAUCUGGGAAUAAUUUUUUUAGUCUUUUAAAUCUAAAAUUGAAACUAAGUCAAAUUCAUGUUUCUAGAAAAAAUUACUGGAAAAUUUUUUAAAACCAAUCCGCAUGUUUGUGUUCAGGAUUUUAUAAAUCUUAAAAUUAAAAACUAUAUAAAUUUUUAAUAAUUCUAAAAAAACUUAAAUGUUUGUGUUCAGGAUUUUAUAAAUCUUAAAAUUAAAAACUAUAUAAAUUUUUAAUAAUUCUAAAAAAACUUAAAUUUAUAAUUAUUAAAAUAUAAAUUUAAAAUCUAACCCGCUGAAAUUGCUCUUAUUCCAUCCUUGCAACUCUUUUCAACAAAGAAGAUAGCAAUGGAAGAUAUCGCAUCCUUUAAUGUACACCACGACUGGAUGUCUCCUUUGAAGUGCAAAGCACAAAUGCCUUUAUACCCCCAAAAAAAAAAAGAAGAAGAAGAAGAAGAAGAAGCACAAAUGCCUCUAACGCAGAAAGCGUCAAUGAUCCAUCAUUAAAGUAGGGAAUUGAUGGUUGCUUAUAUAGUGCAAAAAUUGACUUUUCGUUUUUGUGGCAUGUGAUAUAUAUAUUUCUCCAUCAUGUUUGUUAGUUUUUAAAGUUAAAUUAUUUUUAUUUUAAAAUAUAUUAAAAAAAAUUUAUUUUAAAAUUUAUUUUUAAUACUAGAACGUUAAAAUAAUUAAAAAAUUAAAUUUUUAUAAAAAUAUUUUUCAACCGUGAAAAUAAACAUAACCCGUUUCAAUCAUAAAUUUAUAAAUAUUUGAUUAAUAAAUACAUAACAUAUAUCCCACUAAAAACUUUGUAUUAAAACUAUAAUUUAUAGUUUUGCUAAAGCUUAUAUUUUUUAGAGUAUGGCGACGAUUGUUUUUCUUCAAAAUGCUUCUCACUAAAAACAAGUACAUUAAAAUAAUAAUAAAAAAUUCAUUCUUUUUUUCUCUUCUUGUUUAUUCAGUUAAGUUUGUAUCAUAAUUGUAAAACUUAAAUUGGCUUAAUAGAUCACUUUUGAACUCGAUUAAUUUAAAAUCUAGAUUAGUUCAGGUUGAAGAAAAACAAUAUAGAUUGACUUGCUGAACUUAAUGAAUCACUUCGAUAUUAAUUCUUAUGACCUGUGACUUGAGUGUUUUCACAUGUUGAUUUUUAUAACUAUGGCUUGGGCUAAGUUUGAUAAUAUUAAUUGGGUUAUUAAAAUACCCUAUUAACUCAAUAGAGUUUCGCUGAUAAUAUCUAAUAUAAUUAAACUAAAAGUCUAUCUCAAAGUAAAUUUUAAAUGUCAAAUUCGUGGAUCAAUUUGGGGUUUAACAACUCCAGAAUAUAACAUCUAAUCAUCAUUGAUUAGAUCUCUUCUAUUUUUUUUUUGUUUAUUAAUAUAAAUAUCCCCGUUAAUUUAUGUGUAUCUCAACUAACCCACGAGUUCUAAAAUUAAAGUUCAUGUAAGUCUUUGGUGGUUCUGGUGGAACUCAAACUCAUGACCAUUAGAAAACAAACUCAAAACCUAAUCAGUUAAACUACCUCUCAGGUUGAUAUCCUUUCUAUCUUGAUAAAUAGCAAUUUACUUAUCAUGACGUUUCUUUAAAUUUUAAAUUUUUUUGUUUAAAAUAAUUUUUUUUUUUUAUGAUUUUAGAUUGUUUUAAUGUAUUGAUAUCAAAAAUAAUUUUUUUUAUUUUUAUAUAAUUUUAAAUAAAAAAUACUUUAAACUGUUACCGUUAUUAAAAUUUAUAAUCCCAAAAAAUCCUUUAAAUUGAGACAUGAAAUUGCUUUCAUGGCCCGCCCUGGUUUAGCACCGUGUUCUCUCUAUCCUUGCCCUGCCGUGUGUCGGCGGAGUCAAAGACGAGUCUUGGCACACAUGGGCCCAGUGAAACUGAUCCUACGUGCAUACCUCUAAAUGCUUACUUUCUGCUCAUUUCUAUAAAGUCCACUCGCACUGGGUCCACGCCCCCCUUGUACAAGAGUUUAGCUAUGUAUAGAUCAUGUAAACUCUUAUAAAUCUUUUAUUUCUUCACAAUUCAUUACAGGAAGAACAACAAUAUUCAAGUAAUGAAAUGCCAUAAGUGAAGAUCCUUCAAGCCAAAAUACAAAUUUAACUGUCAAAACUUUGACUGACAAUAUUGACAUAUGAGAAAAGAUGAAGCAAGCGUGUUUGGAAGUAUGGUUGUGGUUACGGUUGUUUUUCAAAGUGUUUUUCACUCGGAAAUGUAUCAAAAUAAUAUUUUUUUAUUUUUAAAAAAUUAUUUUUGAUAUCAGCGCAUCAAAAUGAUUUAAAAACACUAAAAAAAUACUAAUUUGAAGUAAAGAAAAAAAUAAAAAAAUUUUAAUUUUUUUCAAAAGCGCCUUGAUAACACAAAACAAACAGGGUCUUGGUUUAAAAAAAUUACCAUAUAUGAUUGAUUGUGGUUUUUUUUUUGACAAACGGUGAAUACUAAUUAAUUUAAGGUGUUAGAAAUAUGAGAGAAAAUAAUUUUUAAAAUAAAAAGGGUAGUUUCUAUGGAAAAGAGAACUUCUAUGAUUUUUAGAAUUUAAUACACAACUUAAUAGUUAUUGUUUUAUAUUUUUAAAUUCAAGUAAAAAAUAGGACUACAUAGAAUUCCUUUCAUGUUAAAAGAAUUAUCAUACAUUUAUAUUAUCAAACUAUCAAUAGAAAAAAAAAUCUAUCAACAAAUAAUAUUUAUGAUUAAUCAUGAAAACAGUGUAUAAAAAUAGUGAUCUUAUAUAUCUAUUCCCUCGUCUACUUCGAAAUUUUUCUUAUUUUAUAUAAAUAUAAUUCUUAUAUUUUUUUUAUUUCUUCUUAAUCUAUAUAAGAACAAAAAAAAAAAACAUGAAUCCAACGGAUUAAAAUAUUUCAAGAAAUGAUUAUGAGAAAAUUAUUUCCAUAAAAUUAGUAUUAUUCUUACCAUUAACAUGCAAUAGGGACUAAAAUUAAAUAUUUUUAAUAAAAUCCGUUGAAUUGUUUUCAAGAAAUCUAAUGUUUUACAAAAGGAAAGAAAAACAAAGGAGGUGUAACACACGAGCAAGUGAAGCCGGUGGAACUGUCUGGUAAGAAAAUUCCAACACCCUGUAAGCAAAUCUGGCUGACUUUACAUUCUGUUACUAAUAAUAAUAGAAAAAGAUGAAAAGACUGACCAAAAUAAAAUUUAAUCAUAUAAUAAUACUGCAGAUUCUUCUAAUUCUAAUCAUAUUCCUGUUCAUUUCCUCAUUAUUAUCUGAAUCUUUAGUUUUGUCUUCUUCUCAUAGAAUAAUUGUUAUUACAUUAUUCAAAUUUUGACCUUUUUUGUGUUCAAUUCAUCCUCCAUCCACCACUUCUGUCAAGGGAAGGCCUUUUUUUUUUCGAUUUUUCGUUGGCAUCUGGUUUCUGUCAACUUGGUAAGAACCCUUUUGAGUUUUGGCUUUUUGGAUUUUUCUAUUAUUUUUUCUCAAUUUUUCUCUUACAUAAUUCUCCCAUGCCAAUGUGUUUGAUGCAGAGAAGAAGCUGAUCAAGGCCUGUUUCUGUCAUUGGGAUUCCUGUGUUUUUGCAAUGGUUGAUUCUGGUGGUUGUUUUUAAUGUUUAUGAGGAGUUGAUUGCUUAUUGAUACCGAAAGGAGAGUUUCUUUGGCUAUGCUGAGAUUAUAGCACCGAUUCGUGUAAUUUCUGUUUGCAUUCCUGGAGGUUGGAGAUGCCUAUCAGACACGAGAAUUCCGAAGGUAAUUUUUAUGUUCUAUGAAAAUAUUCUGCAAAUAAAUUCAUGUGGAGCAUGUCUUGUUUCUGUUUCCCUUUUUCUUUCUCUUUGCUGUCUGCAUGGUUCUGAUGAGAUAUGAUAUUAAUGCUCAUUUACCAUAGGACAGUUGAAUGCUUUUAGUCAACAUUUGGCCAAUUGCAUAUAUGGACUCUCUCUUGUCCCUUGAUCAUCUGUAGAAUCAAGCUCAUGUAUUGCGUUUGAUGUUCGACUGGGGUUAGAAAUUACAAGCAUGCUGUACCACCUACAAGAUUUAUAGUGUUGAGAAUUUCUUUUCUUGGUUUCCAGAAAGUAACUGAUAUGUAUCAAGCUCAAUGGAAGUCUGUUCAUAAUCUUUUUUUUAGAGUUCUUUCUAAUUUGUGGUCACUGUUCGCUUCUCCUCUUCAUUUUCAAGUUUGUUUUAUGCCUCCAUCUUCAUUUCUUUCUUAGGUCACCUUCACCGGUACUAUUAGCUUCUAACCCCUAACAACUAGAUUUUAAUCUCUGUUCAUAAAGAUUCAUUCAUCAAUCUGCACCGCCCCAUUACUAAAAACAAAAUAAGCAUAAGUUGUCAAGCUUCACUGUGAAUUUGUUUCCGAAAUGCGCUUGGCAAUCAGUUUUGGCUUGUCUUGAGAAACUUGGCGAUUGAGCAGAUAUCAGUGAAGUGAGUCCUCAUUUAUUAUAUCUUCUUCUGGAACUCAUGAUAUAAACAAUGACUCUCUUCUUGACAGUUUUCUAAUCCCCAAAUUUGUUCAAGGGACCUUAUAGAAUCUAUAUUUGUACUCACAUGGAGUUGAGUGUCAAUGGAAAACAUGGCCGUACUUAAGCAAAGUCCUUUUUUUGAAGGAUCUUUUACCUAAUAGUUUUCUGGUUUUCAGAACUUGAGAACUAUUGCAUGUGAUGUUUGUUAUGAUAUUCACGCAGUUAAUGACUUUGCUGAUACUUUUCAGUUGGUGCAUGCUGUGCUUCGAGUGUUACAGCUGGUUAUGCAUGAUCUUUUCAUGAAGAAAAGACCUACAGAGAAUGAUUGCAUCGUGAUCGUUCUCAGCAUUAUAACCUUCCAUGAUUGUCUGAUGUUUGAUUAAACGUAUUGCAUUUUAGGAUCUGCCCCUUGUCCAGAUGAUCUCUUAUGUUCGAACAAACAAAGUUGCAGCAACGGAAAAGAUCAACUGAAAUCUUCUGGUAUUUGGAGCUUUAAUCUUUCAACUUUUUGUUUGAAACUCUCUGUUAUUCCAAUAGCUCACUCCGCAGAAUAUAAGUUGAAAUACAUUGCAAAGGCUUAAACAAACUCAUUAUUCUCUUAUCUCUUACGAAAUUCUUUUCUCAAGGAAGAUCCAUUAAGAGGACUUUACUAUUAUCUUAUUUUAUUUUCCUAUUUACAUUUAUAAAGAUCUGCACAAAAUGAUUGUAUUCUGUUUGUUCCCAACAUUACAGUCUUCCACAAUGAUCUGAUAUUUGAUUAAAUGUGCUGCAUUUUUUAGGAUCGGCUUCCAGUCCAGAUGAUCUUUUAAAUCCAGACCAACAAAGUUGCAGCAGCAGAAAAGUUCAGCGGAAACCUUCCGGUAUCUUGAAUUUUAAUCUUUGAAUUUUUUGUAUGAAAUCAUUUGUUAUUCCAAUAGCUCAUCUCUCUGCAGAACAUAAGUUGAAAUAAAAUGAAAAGGCGCAAACAAACUCAAAUUACUAUAUGAUUUUAAUAUAAUAAAAUUACUUACACCAAGUGAUUGCAUACUGGUCAUUCCCAUCAUUAUUACCUUCCAUGAUGAUCUGAUACAUAAUUAAAUGUAUUGCAUUUUUAGGAUUGGCUCCUUGUCUAAAUGAUCUCGUACGUUCAGGCAAACAAAGUUGCAGCAGCAGGAAAGAUAAACAGAAAUCUCCUGGUAUCUUGAGCUUUAAUCUUUGAACCUUUUGUUUGAAGCUCUUCGUUAUUCCAGUAGCUCAACAUCCUGCAAAAUGGUAGUUGAAACACAUUACAAAGGCAUAAACAAACGCAAAAUUCUCUCACUAUGUGAUUUAUUUCUAACAAAAUUUGGUUCUCGGGGUUUAACUUUACAUGCAGGGAUAUGAUGUAUUAAGUGUACUCAUUUUCUAUUUUUGUUCUAGUAUUUAUCUUCUUCAUUUUCCUAUUUAGCUUUUUAAAAGUGAGCCAAUAGCGAUAUACUCUUGUAUUGAAAUGAAACUAGAAUUUCAUGGAAGAAAAUCUUUUUUUUGUCCACCGCAAUGUACUGACUGCAAACCAAUUUUUGCAUCAAUUGGUUGGUGUUUCUUCAGUAGUGAGUGGGAUGGAUUUGUGUUUUCUGCUAUUUUUUAUUCAAAACAAAUGUGGAUGGAGUCAUGGGUAAGGAUGUGUAUGCUUCAGCAGUGAUUUGCAUAUAUUUUUGACCUUUGGACUGCGAAUUGAGUCUGGCAUGGAGUCAUACUAUAGUAUCUAUUACCUUUGGACCUCACAGUAAAGGGUACAGCUUCCUAGUUCGUUCUCCUUUUAUGAUCCAUCCAUUGUUAGAGAUUCAUGCUUAAUAUACGAGUGAUAUGCUCUGGCUGCCUAUGAACCAAGAGGCUAACCAAAUUCCUGAAGUUCCAAGAACCUAGGAUCGCCUUCUUUCUUUUCCAUUCCUUUUACUUUUAUAUUGGUUGGGAUGGGAGGUAGAAGAGGGUUCUAAAAAGAAAGUUCUCUUGCUUCUUGGAUGAAUCUACACGCAUUUUGUUGAAGAGAUGUCUCCUUUUCCUUUUCUGAAAGCAUUGCUUGGGAUGCAGAGUAACCUUCUUUUUGUUUAUCUAUCAGGUCCACUAAAAAGACUGGAGAGAUUGCUAAGUCAAUCAGGAAACAAGACUUGUGCCGAUUGUGGAUCUCCAGAUCCAAAAUGGGUGUGAGUUGUUAAGACUGAACUUGAUGCAUUUCCAUAGUCUUAUUCAUUUGAUGUAGAGUUUAUGAGAGUAAGAACAUGGAUUUUGAACACUAGAAUCAGUGUUAAAUAUUUCUCCUGAACAUUGAUGGAUAGUGCAAAGGAAAUUGUAGAUUUUAUAAACACAUGUGCUUGAAAUCAUUGUCUCCAUUUAACUACAAAAGUACAAUAUGAUUUUAUUCUUAUCAAAUUCUUGUCACAAUUUCACAUAAAAGCACGGGAUAUUUGUCUUCUUGGUUUGUACCUAACCUCCACUCUGUGCCACCCAUCUGCAACUGUGGCAACGGCCCAGCCACAGAAAGCAGACGCAAUUUCUUUUCCUCAACGCCUGAUAUCAGUGCCUCUUGACAUGACUAUUGGUGCUUGUUUUUUUAUCAGGUCAUUAAGUUAUGGAGUUUUUAUUUGUAUCAAGUGUUCAGGCGUUCAUAGAAGCCUUGGGGUACAUCUAUCGAAGGUGUGGUUUCGAAACUUGACUCGUUGACUUUGUCCGUAAAAGCAAAAAUUUAGAACUUUAUAUAGUUUGAUCUUGUACUCUCAAGAUUUAGUACCAUGAGUUAUGCGGGAUUUAAUUGAAGGAGAAAUAACAGCAUUUUAAUAAAGAGCUCUGUCGAUAAGGGGCUAACAAAACCGCCAUUUUCGAUCCUGCUACUUGGUUCUAUCUCUAUGUUCGCUGCUAUGAACGAGUGGUUAAGCCAUAUUUACUCCUCAUACUUCAGUUUUUUCUAAGCCAGCAGCCAGCAUCAUAAGAAGCCAUUACAAACCUUGGCUAGUAGCAGUAGGCUAGUAGAAAAUAUACUUCACUAUAUAUGUUUUCGUUUUUUUCCUCUCAAGAGUAUCGUAAAUGAAUCAUCCUUGCUACACUCGCGCUAGAGAAUAUUACCGAGCCACCAGAACGUUAAUAUAAUUUAGUUUUAUUUCCACUCUUCUCUGAUUACUCUAUCCUUUCCAUGCCUCUCCCAUAUUGGUAAUUUGGUAUGUUGAUGCCUGUAUUUUUCUCGACUUUGGUCAGGUUCUAUCAAUCAAGCUAGAUGAAUGGACAGAUGAACAGGUGAACGCUCUGAUAGAUUUGGGUGGCAAUACUGCUGCAAACAAGAAAUAUGAAGCUUUUAUGCCCGACGAUUAUAGAAAACCAAGACCAGAUGCCUCUACAGAGGAGCGUUAUGAUUUUAUUAGGUAAUAUUAGCACCACACUGAUCAUAUCUUUAUAAAAAAAACAGUGCAUUCUAAAUCAGAUAUUUUUAUCUGAAUACCUCAGGAGAAAAUAUGAGCUGAAGGAAUUUUCGAACUGUGAUGAACAAAUGUCCAGCCCAUUUCCAGGUUCUAUAAGUUCAUUACCCACUCCUUCAAAUAAUUGUCCUUCCCAAGACAAGAAACAGUAUGAAAAACAAGCAACCAGGCAUCGUAUUGGGAAUGCAUUUCGUAACAGCUGGGGAAGAAAAGACUCCGAGCACAAGCACACAAAAAAGAGCACCUCUUUGGUAAUGAAUUCCGGCUUCAUUAAUGUAUUUAUCUUAUGUUGUGGAUUAUGAGUUCACCUUUUAUAGCAAGCUAUAACAUAUGUUACUGCAAAUGCUUUCUCCUCCUCUUUCUUGAUUUAUAUAUACAUAUUGUUUUGUAUGCGUGGUCACAGAUGAGCAGAAAUUACUGUGCCCCUUCCGCUGCAAUGUUAUCAUUUAUGAGAAGUUAAUAUAAAACAUGAAUGCAUGCACAAACAUAAUAUGCACAAAAAUAUAUGCUCGACUGAAAUAACUCGCAUCGCAAACCAUCAUCAUGCAUGGUUUGUGGUGGACGAAAAUGUGAUGCAUCCUAUCUUGAGUUUUCAGCAAAACUUUCUGAUUCUGUUGCUUUAAAUGUUCUGUUUAUAGGCAGGUAUGGUUGAAUUUAUUGGAUUAAUCAAGGUUAAUGUAGUCAAAGGAACUAACCUAGCUGUCCGGGAUGUGAUGACUAGCGAUCCAUAUGUAAUCAUUUCCUUGGGCCAGCAAGUGAGACUCUCCUCCUUUUGACCCCAUUGGCAUCAUAACUCUGUUGAAUUGAAAUGGAGUGAGAUGCAAUAAACCUGUUAAUAAUGCCAGUUCUUUGUUAUUUGUUAUUGCAGUCAGUGAGGACACGCGUCAUAAAGAACAACCUGAAUCCAAUCUGGAAUGAAAGUCUAAUGUUGUCAAUUCCAGAACAGAUUCCUCCCCUGAAAGUGGUAUGUUGUGUCAAAUUUUCUGUGUGGAAACACAAGAACUUUGGAAACGUUAAUACCAUGCUAGCAAGCUCCUCUUUUUGGUCUUUGGUUAUGGAUGCUUAAAAUUCCAGGUGGAUUUAUGCAGCUUGUUUAUGACAAGGAUACAUUCACAACCGAUGACUUCAUGGGGGAGGCUGAGAUAGACAUUCAACCACUUGUUGCUGCUGCUAAAGCGUAUGAGAAUUCAACCAUCACCGAGUCAAUGCAGCUUGGUAAAUGGAUAGCAGGCCAGGAAAACACCCUUGUUAAAGAUGGAAUUAUCACACUAGUAGACGGAAAGGUAAAGCAAGAAAUCAGCCUCAAGCUAAAGAAUGUAGAGAGAGGGGUGCUGGAGAUUGAGCUUGAAUGUGUUCCUCUUACCCAAUAGUUACAUAGAGACACUAAGAAACUAAAAACAUGGUGAUACCAUAUUUGAAAUUGGCUUUGAAUGUUGAAUUCACCAUGGAAGAACCUUUUAACCUGCAAUUGUUGUAAACUGUUGUAGCCCUUGUUUCAUUACAAAUAAUUUGCUUGACAGGGAUUAUUAGGGUUUCCAUUAACGAAUUGUAUAUAGCUUGUAUGAUUUUAUAACGCCAACACCAGCGAUGCAACCAAAUUUUGUAUCCUGACGAAUUUUGUUCGGUUGGUGCAAAAUCUUCAGGGCUCUGCAGCUUUCUUGAUGAUAAUGUAGCGCGAGUACCAAAUGUGCAACUAUCACUCUGCUGAGUAAAUAGAAACCCUUCUCAACAAAAAUCUUGUACAGGAUAUGAAAAAUAACAGGAAAGAAACUUGAGGACAUUGAAAAUCAGAUGGGUAGGUCAAGAAACUUAAGUGAGCAAACCUUGAGAACAACUCAAAUGAGCACAAUGAUUUCAUUUUCUCUGAAGCUAGUGAACAAUCUUAGCAUGAUAUAAAAUAUAAUUUAUUAGUAUAUUUUCAGGACAAAUCACAGCUCUCUCCUAGGUUGAUGAGAAACGAGAGGCAAUCAUAAAACCCAUCAGUGUUUUCCUCCAUUUUCUCAGCAACCAAUCAAAUCAAUAAUUAUUACAAUGGAAAUUGGGGUAAAACUUCGUCUUCCAGAUUCUCCCACCAAAAACUUUCCACCAUCCUCUCUCCUCUCCACAUCAAAAGCUUAAUCCAAGAAAACAUCUUCUUUGACUCCAAAAGCUCCAAACUCUCCUCAAACCUCGCAGCUCUCCGUCUUUGUUUUUACAAUCUUGAUUCCUACUGCGUCCUCUCUCUCUCCAAGCCAAACCUAUCAUGUCAAAUGGCAUAAGCUGUGUCAAAAAGCAUGAAGAGCCCAUUGACCCCAGGAUUAACCGCGUGUGCGUGGCCGAGCCCUGGAAGUUACUAGGGUUGCUGGAGAUUUAAAAAGAUAAUACAGAGAGUCAGAAGGGAGGUUGGGAUCGGAGAAAAUGAGGAUCUUGUUUGUUUGAGUGGGUUUAGGAAUGUGAGGCAAGUGUUUGACUGGAAAGGAUUGAAACUUGAGCUUGGUGAGACAAUUUAUGAUUUUGGAACUAGCUAUGAGAUUGAAUGCGACUAAAGAGCCUGAGAAGUAUAAGGAGUUGAUUGAAGGGUUAUUGAAGGAUAAUUGGAUUGAGUUUUCCUACUCAGAAGCUAACGAGUUUGCACUUUUUCGAUCUGGGAAAUUGCCCUAAGAAGAGAAGAUUGUGUUUUUCUGAAUUGUAUUGAAGCAGCAAUGAGUAAAUCAACUCUCUUUUGUGAUGUUCUGUAAAAUUUGCAUUUCAUUUAUACUAGUUUUUUGAAUUGUUCUUGACUCUAUCUUGCUCCUUUCUCUAAAAUUUGUACCUGGAUAGAGACUUUCAAGUGUAUUUCAUCCAUACCUGAACGCCCCAUUGCCAUCCUAUAAGUUUGUUUUGACAGAUUGUUGUAACCACAAUAGGGUUUGGAUUGGAUAGACAAGGCCAGCUUAUCUGUGAGCACCAACCCCCUCAUUUGAGUUGUCAAUCUGAAACUAAUUUCCAUUCAAUGAAAACGAUGGAAGUGCCAACAGAAAACAUUUCAAGCUGGAGCCCUAUCACUUUUGUAAAAAAAAAAAAGUCUUGUAAAUUCAUAAUGGGAAAGAGAUGAUUUGAGAUAAGAUCAUCGAUCAAUUCUCUCUUUAC